rnacentral:lncRNA from 1 species
UGUUUUUCUUUUCUUUUCUCCUUCGCGCAGAGUACUUCCCUGGCUACUCAACUGCCGCCAACCAGGCCAUCGAAGCCCGUCGCCAGGCGAAGAGGCAAGCCGGCUUCGAGAUCUCGCCAACCGCCGGCCGCUCGCUGGAAGAAUAGCUACUGGCGAUCCAGGCUCGCAUCCAGCCGGCUCACAGGCUGCUCCGCCGGCUUCAGCGCGCGGGAUCACAGGUCUUGGCCGCCCUCUGGCCCGGCCAAGUGGUCCCUCGCACCCCCAGUCAGACCGCCGACUGGCUGGAGGUGGCAGUCGGCCGCUUCGAGGCUUGGAAGGCGUCAGCCGCUCGCUCCGGCGCCAGGCGGGCGCUGGAGUUCGUCAAGGCCUGGUAUCCCGGCCUAAACCUGGACCAACUGGCUACCUGGCGGCAGCAAGCCGACACGGAGCUGGAGCCGGCGCGGCCGGCCAUCAUUCGGCGGGCUUCAGCGAUCGCCGACUACACCGACACCAACGUCUUCGCCCCCGAGGUGGACGACAAUGGAGUCACCCAGCCGAAAGAUUGGUUCGGGCUGGACCCGGCGUACGGCGAGGACUCGGUGGAGGAGAUCGACUCCAGCGACAAGGGCGAAGAGGAGGAGGAGGAGGGUGAAGACGCCGAGCCGGCUGGCGGAGUAGCCGGCCAGCCUAACCGCGCCUCCAGCACUACGUCGCGUGCGAGUGCGUCUCCUGCCGCGGGAGGUGGUCAAGCCGGGACCAGCUAGGCGGCCACUCCUUCAGCCGGCGAGGCCGCCUUCACCGACCAGCUCGGCCUUCCUGUCGCGCCUUAGUCUUCUUUAUUUUGUUUUCCUGUCUUGUUACUUUUGAACAAUGUUUGGUUAAGUCUGCACAAUUCCACCCACUGGGUGUAUUCAAACUCAAGUCUGUUGCCAGCCUGCGGGCAGCUUUAUGUAUAUAAGUUAUGCAAUCGGUCUUUCCUUGUACUUUCGCUUUUUGUCCUUCUGCUUUUUUCCUUUGCCGCCCUCCCUUGGUUGCCGCCUCCCCAGUCAAACAGUUGCUCUGCAAUCUGUGGCCGGGGAGUGCCUGGCCGAUUGGGGAGGGGGAAGUACUUUUAGCUCUGCCGGACUUCAGCUAAGUUUUUUAGGAAGCCGGCCGGCCGGCUGCUUUGACAGCCGGCAGGCAUAUUUGGAGGCCGUCUCUUUGCUAUAUAGGUUAGUUGUUCCUUAGCCGUUUUUCGUGUGGGCGUCCUUUCUGUCUUCUCUCUUGCUAGUCGGACAGUCAGUUCUUUGAGCUGCGACUUUCAGCAAGAGAGGACUUGGGAGCCGGCGCACUACUUUGCUGACUUCGGGAAGAACUUUGAAUAUAGCUCAAGGCGGCCAGUCCCCGGGCCGACUAGUCGGACCCGGUGCCAGACAAGAAUUCAAAAUGUAAUAAUACAUUCAUGGAUAUGACACUCGUCAUUCAUAGAUAAAUAAAAGGCAGUCCCCGAGUACUGUUCGGGGGGCCUAUUGGUUUGUACUUAAUACAAAAGGGGUAGCGUGAUACAUACUGCUUUUCAGCUGUAAAAUCGUCUUAGGAGGUUUGCGUUCCAUGGUCGCUCCGACUCCUUGCCGGAGUCGUCUCUCUUGCGUGCUCUUGGUUUUUGCGCGUCGAUCAAGUAGUAGGAGUCGUUGCCGAGUGCCUUGCUGACGACGAAGGGGCCUUCCCAAGGGGCCGAGAGCUUGUGCUGGCCGGCUGUUCGAUGGAUCAGCCGGAGCACAAGGUCGCCCUCUUGGAAGGAUCUUGGCUUGACCUUGCGGUUGUAGUAGCGGCGCAGGCCUUGCUGGUAGAUGGCGGACCGGCUGAGGGCUAACAGCCGGCCUUCUUCCAGUAGGUCGACGCCGUCUUCUCUUGCUUCUUUGGCUUCCUCCUCCGUGUACAUGGUGAGCCGAGGCGAAUCGAACUCGAUGUCUAUUGGGAUGACGGCCUCGGCACCGUACACAAGGAAAAAUGGAGUGAAGCCGGUUGACUUGUUGGGUGUAGUGCGCAGACUCCAGAGGACAGCCGGCAGCUCUUCGAGCCAGCAGCCGGCCGAUCGCUCCAGUGGUACAACCAGUCGGGGUUUGAUGCCGGAGAGGAUAAGUCCAUUUGCUCGCUCGACCUGGCCGUUUGACUACGGGUGGGCAACGGACGCUAAGUCCAGUCGGAUGCCCUGCGUCGCGCAGAAACGUGCCAGUGCGCCUUUGGCGAAGUUCGUGCCGUUGUCGGUGAAUAUGCUGUGCGGCACGCCGUACCGAGUAGUGAUGUCGGUGAUGAAUGUCACGGCAGUCGGCCCGUUCAGCUUCUUAAUUGGCUUGGCUUCAAUCCACUUUCCGAACUUGUCCACCGCAACGAGUAGAUGUGUCAAGCCACCGCGGGCUGUCUUGAAAGGGCCCACACUGUCCAGUCCCCAGACGGCAAAAGGCCAGGUGAGGGGAAUGGUCUUGAGGGCAGAAGCCGGCAGGUGUUGUUUGGAACUGAAGACUUGACAUCCUCUGUAGCUCUUGACUAUUUCUUUAGCAUCCUCCAAGGUAGUCGGCCAGAAGAACCCAUGGCGGAAAGCCUUGGCCACGAGGGAUCUUGAGGCGGCGUGAUGGCCGCAUUCGCCUUGGUGGAUGUCUUUGAGGAUUGCCACUCCUUUUUCUGGCUCGACGCAAUGCUGGAAGACUCCAGUGACGCUGCGCUUCACAAGCUCCCUGUUGAUUAUUGUGUAUGCUGCGGCUCGUCGUUGCACUAGUCUUGCUACGAUAUCAUCAGCCGGCAGCUCUCUGCUGACUAGGAACUUGAGGAUGGGCUAGGCCCAUGAGGGAGCUGUGACUUCUUCUGCUGUUAAUGUGGCCACCAUGACUCGGGUGGGUGGGUUGGGUGUUGCAUUGGAGUCGACCACCGCUUCUUGUGUCGUUGCAGUCCCCGGGCCGACUGCUGCAGUCCCCGGGCCGGGUUCUGAAGUUCUCGUGCCGCCUGCGGGGUUUCUUGAGCCGGAUCCGGCUGUUUCUGGCGCAGGCGGUACAAAGAUGGAAUCCGACUCUGGAGACGGCUUGAUGGACGGCUUGAGGAGGCGCUGGAGGGAGACGCCAGUCGGUAUGGCUUGUCGGGUGGAGCCGAUCCGUGCUAGGGCAUCUGCUUGGUCGUUGUCGGCCCUUGGCACGUGAAGGAACUCGCACCCUUCGAAGUAUCCGCUCAUCUGCUGGACGAGGAAACGGUAGCUCGCCAUGUUCGCGUCCUUGGCGUCCCAGUCGCCAGAUGAUUGCUGGACCACCAAGUCUGAGUUGCCGUAGCACAGGAUCCGGCGUAUGCCAAGUUCUUUGGCUAGCCGGAGCCCAUGUACGAGUGCCUCGUACUCGGCCACGUUGUUGGAGGCGGCGAAGUGGAUCUGCAACGUGUACUUGAGCUUGUCGCCCUUGGGAGAGGUGAGGACGAUGCCGGCUCCCAAGCCGGUGCGCAUCUUGGACCCGUCAAAGUGCAUCCGCCAAUGGGUAGAGUCGGGAGCUGGCGGUAAGUACUGGGUCUCGGCCCAGUCGACGAGGAAGUCGGCCAAUGCUUGCGACUUGAUGGCGGUGCGGGGUUGAUAGAAGAUCGUGUAGGGCGCCAAGGCAAUGGCCCAUUUGGCCACCCGGCCGGAUGCAUCCCGGCUGCCUAUGAUCUCGGCGAGCGGGGCAGUGCACACGACCGUGAUGGGGUGCUCUUGGAAGUAGGGCUUCAAUUUCUUGGCAGCGAAGUACACCCCAUAGCACAUCUUCUGGUAGUGCGGGUAGUUUUGCUUUGAGCUGGACAGUACUUCGCUGAGAUAGUAGACCGGCCUCUGGACCAGCUGGGCUCGGCCUUCCUCCGGGCGCUGGACCACAGCAACAGUGCUGACGACUCGGCUUGUCGCGGCGAUGUAGAGGAGCAUGGGCUCCUUCUCAGUCGGCGCAGCCAGGACGGGCGGAGUGGUCAACAUUUUCUUCAACUCAUGGAAGGCUUGGUCGGCUUGAUCAUUCCACUCAAAGUGAGUGGACUUCUUCAUGAGUCGGUACAGAGGGAGAGCCUUCUCUCCUAGUCGGCUGAUAAAACGGUUCAGGGAGGCUAAGCAGCCAGUGAACUUCUGCACGUCUCGCAGCUUGGUGGGAAUCUCCAUCCUCUCGAUGGCCUUGAUCUUGACAGGGUUGCACUCAAUGCCGCGUUCGAAGACCAGGAAGCCUAGCAGCUGGCCGGCUGGCACGCCGAACACGCACUUCUCGGGGUUGAGCUUGAUCUGGAAUCGGCACAAGUUGGCAAAUGUUUCCUUCAGGUCUUCCAGCAAGGUACCGCGCUUCUCUGUCUUCACCACAAUGUCGUCUACGUAGACGUGGGCAUUUCUGCCGAGUUGUUUCAAGAGACAUUUCUGCAUGCAGCGCUGAAAAGUGGCACCGGCAUUUCUCAAGCCGAAUGUCAUUGUCAGGUAGCAGAAAGCUCCAAAGGGUGUGAUGAAGGCAGUCGUCAGGCGGUCAGCCGGGUCCAACUUGAUCUGAUGAUACCCUGAGUAUGCAUCCAAAAAACUUAACAGCUCGCAUCCGGCUGUGGAGUCUAUCACUUGGUCAAUCCGUGGCAAAGCAAACGGAUCCUUUGGGUAGGCCUUGUUCAAACUUGUGUAGUCUAUACACAUGCGCCACUUGUUAUUCUUCCUCAAAAACAGAACUGGAUUGGCAAGCCAUUCUGGAAAGAACACUUCCAUGAUGAAGCCGGGUGCAAGGAGCCGGGCUAUCUCUUCUCCAACGAUUCUUCGCUUCUCUUCUGACAAUCGGCGGAGGGGUUGCUUGACCGGCUUCGCAUCAGCUCGGACAUGUAAUUUGUGCUCGGCGAAAUCCUUCGGGACACCCGGCAUGUCCUUUGGGGACCAUGCAAAGAUGUCUCGAUUCUCACGGAGGAAGUCGACGAGCUCGCCUUCCUAUUUACUGUCCAAGUUCGCCCCAAUCACGGCGAACCUCUCCGGGUGCUCCGGGUCUAGAGGUAUCUUCUUCGUCUCUUUGGCAGGCUGGAAGGAGCCCUGCGCAUCACAGUCCUUGGGGUUGGGGGACAGGGCCGGCUGCUUGCCGGCCAUGGCCACAACCCGUUCCAACAUUUUCUUCUCUUCUGCCACCACGAGGGACUCGGCCAGCCGGCUGCUGGCCAUGGCACACUCGAUGGACUUCUUGUAGUCGCCGGCUACCGUGAUGAUCCCCUUCGAGCUCGGCAUCUUCAUCUUCAGAUAGGCAUAGUGGGGCACAGCCAUGAAUUUGGCCAAGGCAGGUCGGCCAAGUAGUGCAUGAUAGGGGCUCUCCAAAUCCACCACCUCGAACCAUAUUGCUUCCCGGCGAAAGUGAUCUUUGUCUCCGAAGAGAACAUCCAUCUUGAUCUUGCCGAUUGGAGAGCAAGAUAGGCCGGGUACGAUACCAUGGAAGACGGUGCGGCUCGGCAUGAGCUGCUUCGCUUUGAUGUUCAGCUUGUCCAUGGUAUCGCGGUACAGUAUGUUGAUAGUGCUUCCGCCGUCUAUCAGGACGCGGGAAAAUCUGGCAGCUCGCCUCUUCGUCGCAAGGGUGACGUCCAAGACCAUAGCAUAGGAGCCAGGCGAAGGCAUCACCUCUGGGUGGUCGGCCUGGCUCCAGCUGAUGGGCUUUUUCGACCAGUGCAUGAACUCGGCGGUGCUAGAGGCGACUGCGUUUACUACUUGGUGCUGCCGGCGUCGGCUGCGCUUGUCGUCGACUUGACUUGUGAAGACGACGUAGACGUCGUGCGCUUCGGGAAACUCGUCUUGGAUGGCGCCGACUACCGGCCGGGCCGCCUGCUGCUGGGGAGCUGGAGGCGGCGGGCCGGGAGGCGGAGGCGGCACCAUCCCUUCGCCCUUGGUGAUGCGGGUGAGCCAGUGGCAUUUCCGUGUCGUAUGGUUGGACGGCUUCGCGCCGCUGUGGAACUUGCAGGGAGCAUCGAGUGCUUGUUCGUAGGAGAAAGACGGCUGCCAAGGCGGCCGGCCACCCUUCUUCUUGGGAGCGGGCCGCUCUUCGGGCUGCUCGUCUUCAAUGGUGGCCACCUGCCGACUGGAGGAAGUCGGCAUGGGGCCCUUGCGCUUGUGGUCGUUCUGGUAGGGGCGCCGGUUAGGGUCGCCAGCCGGCGUCUUGGGAGUCAGAGCAACUACUUUCCCCGAGGCGUCCACUCGGAGCUCGGUCUUCAUGGAGGAGUCGGCAGUGGCAUACUUGUCGGCGGUGAUCAGCAACUCAUCGAGGGUAGCCGGCUCGUCGCAGAGGAGUCGGUGCUUGAGGAGGGUGCCCUCUCGGCACCCGGCGGUGAAGUACUCGAUGGCCUGGACCUCGUGCACCCCCUCGCAGGAGUUGCGGAGCUCGGCCCAUCGCGUGAGGUAGUCGCGAGUCGACUCAUUGGGCCCCUGGAUGCAGAGGGAGAGCUGGCGAGGCUUGGGAGGCCGCUUGUAGGUGUUGGUGAAGUUGCGGACGAAAACUUCGGUGAAGUCCAGCCAGCUGUUGAUGCUGUAGGGCUUGAGGCUGUUGAGCCAUGUGCGCGCCGUGCCUUGCAGCAUCAAGGGGACGUACUUCAUGGCGACGCGCCGAUUGCCGUUGGCGAUGCUGACGGCUGUGGAGUAGUCGAUGAGCCAAUCUUCCGGCUUCACCGAGCCGUUGUACUUGGGCGUGUCUCUGGGGAGCGAGAACCCCUUGGGGAAGGGCUCGUCGCGGAUGCGGGGGCCAAAGCAUGGCGGGCCGACAUCGUCUUCUUCUUCUAGCGCCAAGGAUCGAGCAAGGCGGUCGAUCCUGUGGCGGGCGUCGUUUUCACCGACUCCUUCUUGGCGGCUGAGUCGGUUGCCAAGAGUCGGAUGGGUGACAGGCGGUGGAGUGAGGCGUCUUUCUCUUCGAGGCGGGGGAGGAGGCAGGUUUCCCUGGUGCUCUACAGCUCGAGGGCGGCCAUCCGCGUCGCGCUCGAUGGUAAUGCGAGUCCGGCUACGGCUGGCGGCCGGCUCCUUGUCUUUCUUCUGGCGCGCACCGCUCGCAGUCGGCGAGCGGGACGUCGCGGCGUGCUCCCGGCGCGGGGGAUGGCUAUCAGCUCGGGCGCCGGCUUCGUGCCAUUCUGCAGCCGCGUCGAUCAGCUGCUGGAUCCGUCUUGUCAUGUAGGGGAGCUCAUCGGCUCCUAGCCCAUUGAGCUCCUCUGCAGCCGCCUGAGCGGCUCGCAGAUUCUCGAGCGGGGUGGCGUAGACGGGGCGAUCUGUGCCCAGCAUGCUGGCAACGGCUGCGCCGCGCUUCUGGACGAAGCCGGCUCGGCUCGGGCCGCUAGGCGGCGGCGUCCCGAAGGCGGCGCGGUCGACUUCGUGCUGGUGGGCCUCGGUGAGGCGUCUCAUCGAGGCUAUCUUCUUGCCCUCCGCGAUGAGGGCAAGGCGGCAUGCCUCCAGGGUCUCGGCGUCGGCGUCGGCUGGGAUGGGGAUGGAGAGGUCGUGCAUCGCCGCUUGCUGAGUGUCGCGGGCGUUCUCGCCCGAGUUGGAGACGUGGCUGAUGACCAGCACUUCGGUGACAGCGCUGCUGCCGCUGUCAGCUCGAGGGAGGGGGUCAUCGAAGACCACCACGUCGGAGGGGUAGGCGUCGAUCGACGCGGUGUCGGAGUCGAUGAGCAUCCGGUCGGUGGAGCCGACCGACUCCAUGUCCGCAGCGGGCUCGCUGGAGACGUGAAGUUGGUCGAGGAGGCUGACGAGGCGGCUCUCGGGGUAGUCGGUGCCUGCGUCGGACGCAGGCUCGUCGGAGAUGCGAGUCUCGCCGAGCAGAUCGCGAGGCGGCUCGCUGCGCAGGCGUCGUCGACGCCUUGCAGCCCGUUGGGGCAAACGCCAUUGGGCGCAGCAGGCUAGCUGCGCUCGUGGGGAAGGAAGAGGGUUCCCGUCCAGAACAGGUCUCCGGACGACGGUGCACCUGGCCCCACGGUGGGCGCCAAAUGUCCGGUGGUUGGUGCGACAUAUGCCAAGGGAUGGCUUAUCAUUGUGGGAGCCAAUAAAACGUCACCGGUGCCCGGAAACGGGAUGAGGCGAAGACAUGCACGCCGGCGAAUCUUACCCAAGUUCGGGGCUCUCCGAGGAGAUAACACCCCUAGUCCUGCUCUGCGGGGUCUCCGCGUGAUCACUAGAUCGAUAAAGGGUAGCUACAAUCGCCCCUAGAGCUGUUGAUAUCAAGGGAGAAGAAGAACAAGGCUAGCUCUUGCUUCUCUCUAUCUAUGGUGUGUGUGCUAUGCGUGGGUGUUAACCUAGAAGCCAACCCUUUGCAUGGGUGCUCCGGGGGGUUUAUAUAGGCCUACCCCCCGGGGGUACAAUGGUAAUCCGACUGGGAACUGGUCCCAGCCGUCAGUGUCUAUGCUCGCCGGCUUCUCCGCCGGCUGCUGGGUCCCGCCGGCUGCUGGGUCCCACCGGCUGCCGGCUACUUGGUCGACAGGCCGGUCCCACCGCCUAGGGUUUUGUCGGCGGCUGCUUACUGUAGCCGCGCCUCUGAUGAUGAGGGCUUUGUCGAGGUGAGCGUGGCUACAGUGGGCCGCCUCGGGGGCUAUCACUGUAGCCUCACCUCGUCUUGUCUCCUUAAUGGGGCUCCUGCUUCGAGGAAGGGAGUAGCCGGCUUCUGGAAGCCGGCUAUACUCUUGGCCGACUAGGAAAAGCCGGGCCGCCUUCACGCCUCUCUCUGGCUGAAGGGGCCCGCAGUCCUUGGGCCGUACAGGAGUGGGUCGUGGAUGACGUCGAGGCUAGCGUGGCUACAGUGCCGAGCCGCACGGGAAACGUCCCUCCCGUACGGCCUCCUGUAGCCAUGCCCGCCUCGGGCUUCGGGGGUCAUGGGCCGCACUGUGGCCACACCCCGUCACGUCGCUGUUAUGGAGGGGUGGCUGUGAUCUCGGCCGGCUCCUAGGAGUCGGCGUCUUUCCUGGUCGGCUUCUUAGAGUCGGCCACCCCGUAGUCGUCCUGGGGAGGAGUCGGUGAGGCUGGGUCGCCUUCCGGGAGUCGGCUUUAGUGGUAGCCGGCCAGGGAAGGCGGCCCAAAUGCUUGGAGUGCUUGAAGGCCCAAAGGCCUGAUAAAUUUUCCGAAGAGCCAGGGGUAGUCGGUUAGGCUACCCGUGGCCAUUUACCCCGACAAUCUUCUCCAAGAAUAAGAAGGACCAUGCCAAACAUUUGCGAUUGGUGCUCAACAAGCUCAGAGAGUAUCAAUUCUAUGCGAAGUUCUCCAAAUGUGAGUUUUGGCUCGAUGAAGUUCUUUUCCGUGGUCACAUCAUCUCUGCCAAGGGCAUCGCUGUUAACCCCGAGAAGGUGUCCGCAAUUGUGAAUUGGGAACCUCCUCAGAAUGUCAAGCAGCUCCGCAGUUUUUUCGGUCUUGCAAGCUAUUGCCGAAGAUUCGUUGAGAAUUUCUCCAAGAUUGCAAAGCCUCUUUCCAACCUCCUACAGAAGCAUGUGAAGUAUGUCUGGUCUCCUGAGUGUGACGUUGCUUUCAACACUCUCAAAGAGAAACUAGUCACAGCUCCUGUCUUGACUCCUCCUGAUGAAUCCAAGCCGUUUGAAGUUUUCUGUGAUGCUUCUCUCCAAGGUCUCGGUGCUGUGUUAAUGCAAGAGAAGAAAGUUGUGGACUAAACCUCUCGUCAGUUGAAGCCCAACGAGAAGAACUACCCCACUCACGAUCUUGAGUUGGCGGCAGUUGUCCAUGCAUUAAUAACGUGGAGACAUCUCUUGUUGGGAAGACAAGUGGACAUUUUCACCGAUCACAAGAGUCUCAAGUAUAUCUUCACUCAACCCAACCUCAACCUCAGGCAGACUCGAUGGGUCGAAAUGAUUCAAGAGUACAAUCCGAGUAUUGAAUAUACUCCAGGCAAGGCCAAUGUCAUUGCAGAUGCUUUAAGCAGGAAGGCUUAUUGCAACAGCUUAAUUCUCAAGCCGUUCCAACCGGAUCUUUGUGAAGCUUUCCGUAAGCUGAAUCUCCAAGUUGUUCCUCAAGGCUUUCUUGCCAACCUCAUAGUCUCUCCUACUUUGGAAGAUCAAAUUCGUGAGGCACAACUCCUUGAUGCCAUGGUGAAGAAGGUGAAACGUGGUAUCGACAAGGGUCUUUCCAAAUACAAGUGCUAUCGCAUUGAUGAUAGAGACACUUUAUUCUUUGAGGACCGGAUUGUGGUUCCUAAAGGUGAUCUAAGGAAAGUCAUAAUGAACGAGGCGCACAAUUCUCUCCUAUCCAUUCAUCCUGGAAGUACGAAGAUGUAUCAUGACCUCAAGCAGUCGUAUUGGUGGACUCGAAUGAAGCGAGAAAUUGCUCAAUUCGUGAAUGAAUGUGAUUUCUGUCGAAGAGUGAAAGCAGAACACCAACGACCAUCUGGUCUCCUCCAACCUCUUGCUAUCCCAGAAUGGAAGUUUGAUCACAUCGAAAUGGACUUCGUGACUGGAUUUCCCAAGUCCAAGCGCGGAAAUGAUGAUAUCUUCGUUGUCAUUGACAAGCUUUCUAAAGUGGCUCAUUUCCUUCCAAUCAAAGAAUCCAUCACAGCAGCUCAGCUGGCAGAGUUAUACACCUCCAGAAUUGUCUCCUUGCACGACAUUCCACAAUUGAUUUCUUCUGAUCGUGGAAGCAUCUUCACCUCUAAGUUCUGGGACUCCUUCGAGAAGGCCAUGGGCACAAACAUUCGCUUCAGCACAGCUUUCCAUCCUCAAACUAGUGGCCAAGUCGAGCGAGUCAAUCAAAUUCUUGAAGAUAUGCUCAGGGCUUGUGUCAUUUCCUUUGGCAUGAAAUCGGAAGAUUGUCUUCCAUAUGCUGAAUUCUCCUACAACAACAGCUUCCAAGCGAGUUCGGGCAAGGCCCCAUUCGAGAUUCUCUAUGGCAGAAAGUGACGUACUCCUCUCAAUUGGUCAGAGACUGGUGAACGCCAAAUUCUUGGAAAUGACUUAAUCACUGAAGCUGAAGAAAUGUGUAAAGUCAUCCGUGAUAAUCUCAAAGCCGCGCAAUCGCGCCAGAAGAGUUACUAUGAUAGUAAGCAUCGUGAUUUGUCUUUCGAGAUCGGAGACCAUGUCUACCUCCGCGUCUCUCCAAUGAAAGGCACUCGUUGCUUCGGUAUCAAAGGGAAGCUUGCCCCUAGAUACGUGGGUCCUUUCAAGAUCAUUGGCAAAAGAGGCGACCUCGCCUAUCAACUUGAGCUUCCUUCCAACUUCGCGAACGUGCACGAUGUGUUCCACGUGUCACAGCUCCGCAAGUGCUUCAAGACGCCUGAGCGCACUAUCGACUUCGAAGAGAUUAAACUCCAAGAAGAUUUGUCUUAUUAUGAGCACCCCAUUGCUAUUCUUGAAGAAACUGAGCACAAGACUCGCAACAAGUCAAUCAAAUUCCUGAAAGUGAAGUGGUCGCACCAUUCCGACCGGGAAGCCACCUGGGAACGCGAGGACCAUCUCCGUUCCGAAUAUCCGGAGUUCUUUCAGUCCUAGAUCUCGGGACGAGAUCCUCUCGUAGUGGUGGAGUGUUGUAGCACCCCGGAUGUAACCUGCCAUAUUUGUAACUCCGACUCUUGCCAUUUUCGGCUAUGUGUUAUGAUAUUCCCUUCGUGGUCGGGUUUUGUCUUUCGUUUUGCAUUUUUUCAUGUCAUGCAUUUUCAUAUCAUGUCAUCAUGCGCAUUGCAUUUGCAUACGUGUUCGUCUCAUGCAUCCGAGCAUUUUCCCAGUUGUCCGUUUUGCAAUCCGGCGCUCCUAUCUCCUCUGGUGCACCCCUUUCGUUUUCUUUCGUGUGCGGGUGUCAAACUUUCUCGGAAUGGGCCGAGGCUUGUCAAGUGGCCUUCAUAUACCACCCGGAAACCACCGGUCAAGUUUCGUUCCAUUUGGAGGUCGUUUGGUACUCCAACGGUUAACCGGGCAUCCGCAAUGUCCAUUUGAGUGUCCAGAAAAAACCCCCCUCAAAACCAGCCCAAAACCCACCAAACUCUCUUCCAUGCUCUAGGUCAUUCGAUCACGAUCGUGUGGGCGAAAACCGCACCUCAUUUGGAGCCUCCUAGCUCCCUCUACCUAUAAAUAUGCAUCUCCCCCGAAAAAUGCUCGCAGAUCAAACCCUAACCCGCUCCUCCGCGCCGCCGGACACGUCCGCCCGGGGCCGGACAUAUCUCCACCGCCGCCCGCAGCCUAUCGGCGCGCGCCACNNNNNNNNNNNNNNNNNNNNNNNNNNNNNNNNNNNNNNNNNNNNNNNNNNNNNNNNNNNNNNNNNNNNNNNNNNNNNNNNNNNNNNNNNNNNNNNNNNNNNNNNNNNNNNNNNNNNNNNNNNNNNNNNNNNNNNNNNNNNNNNNNNNNNNNNNNNNNNNNNNNNNNNNNNNNNNNNNNNNNNNNNNNNNNNNNNNNNNNNNNNNNNNNNNNNNNNNNNNNNNNNNNNNNNNNNNNNNNNNNNNNNNNNNNNNNNNNNNNNNNNNNNNNNNNNNNNNNNNNNNNNNNNNNNNNNNNNNNNNNNNNNNNNNNNNNNNNNNNNNNNNNNNNNNNNNNNNNNNNNNNNNNNNNNNNNNNNNNNNNNNNNNNNNNNNNNNNNNNCCGGCGCCCGUGCACGCCCGCACGCCCGCCGGCGCGCCUCCCCUCCUCCUCCGGCGACCGCGCCCACCUCUCCGGCCGCUCCUCCUCCUCACCGCGGCCUCCCGCCGGCGAGCGCCAUCGGAGCCUCGAGGCUCGGCCCGGAUCUGAGAUCCGCUACUGUACGUGCGUCGACUUUCCUCAUCCCCGACAGCAUAUGCUCAUGUUCGACAGUGCGUAACUUCUUGCAUGUAGCUCCGAUUCGCGCGUGAAAUAUGUCAAAUUGUUCAUCUCGUGAUGCUCUACAUUUUGUCCAAUUGCACCAUUUUCAUUAGAGGUCAUCUUGAUGCCCGAAUCUCUGUUGGAAGAGGGCUAGUUGCUGUUAUCUUCUGGUUCUUAGCAGAACUUGGAGAUUUGUCAUUUUUGUAUCAUUUAAUCUGUGUAUCUUAUGAGCAUGUGCUCUACAUGUGUUUUUUUGUAUGCCAUGCCAUCUUUCCAAGGGUGUAUGCCAUGUAUUUUUGUGAGCUCUGUGGUGACUAGCACAAGCAUGCAAAUUAGGCCCCGUAAUGUUUAUGAUUUCAGGGACUGGGUGAUUUCUCUGUCCUUGUCUGCUGUUAUUUUGUUGCCAUGUAAACUUGAUGCUACAGAGAGAUCCAUGCAUAUUUUGGAGAUUCUCAGUAAGUAUGUUUUGUAGCUAUAGUUGUAAUUGAUCCAUUCCUACCCUUUUUUGAAAUUAUGGAGUGCCAUAGCAUGACUCAAUCUUGCUCUACUUUUGCUCUAAAAUAUUUCUGGCAGAUUCUUAACAUGAUAUGCAAUUUUGCCAAGCUUAUUGUAGUUGAUCCAUACAAGCUAUAUAUUUGUUCUUGCCAUGGUUAGCUUCAUAAACAUGCCAUAUUGCUGUAGGUAUGCUAGUUUUGUCAUGCAUUGCUCUGUAGUGAGUGCAUCAAGCUCACAAAGAGGCCUACAUAUUACUAUUUCUGCCAUGCUCUGUUUUCUGCUAAGUCUGAAACCUGAUAACGAAACUUGCUAUGUUUACAUGCUUUCCAUCAUAUCUUAUGGUCCUUUUUGGCUUAUGGUCAGUAAGGGACUUUUGUCAUGUGCUUUUAGUAGAACACUUCCAUGCCUUGUUUUGCUAUGUUAAGUUCCUGUAGCAUGUUGAUUUCGUGCUCUGAAUAUUGCUACCUGAUGCUGUUUUCUGCCAUGUCCAGUUUUUCACUAAGUCUGUGAUCCUGUUAUCUUUUGCACUUUUGCCAUGCUUGUUUGAGCUUGAUAUGUUGUGAAAUAGCCGUAGCUCAGUGUUCAUAUUUUGUCAAGCAUCUCCUGUAGUUUACUGUCAUAUGCUUUUUUGCUAUGUUGAAGUGCUGUAGCAUUGUUGCUUGUUGUAUUUUAAGUGCUAUCAUGCUGUUAAUCGCAGAUUCGUGUCAUUCUUGUUUUGCUUGCCAUUUGCAAACCGUGCAUCCGUUUCCGGUGAUCUUUAUAUCGAUUUCGACCGAAAUCAUCUCAUCUUUCCAGUGGCAUGCUUGGUUUGCUAAGUUACUGCCAUGUUCAUCAUUUUCCUUCCGGAGCACGCAUAUGCACCGCAUAUCAUAUCUUGCAUAGCAAACAUGUUUUGCAUCAUGUUGCUUGUGCAUUUCUCGUGAUUGAUUGUGGUUCCGUUGCUUGUGUUCUUGUCUUGGGUAGAGCUGGGAGACGAGUUCGUGAAUGAGGAACCUGUUGAGUACGCUUACGAGGAUCAAGCUUUCGACAACUCUGAGAACCUUGCAGGCAAGAUGACCACCCCUCGAAAUCACUUCUAUCUUUGCUUUGCUAGUUGUUCGCUCUAUUGCCAUGCUCCGCUACCUAUCACUUGCUAUAUCAUGUCUCCCAUUUUGCCUUGUCAGCCUCUAACCAUCCUUUCCUAGCAAACCAUUGUUUGGCUAAGUUACCGCUUUUGCUCAGCCCCUCUUAUAGCGUUGCUAGUUGCAGGUGAAGUUGAAGUUUGUUCCAUGUCGGAACAUGGAUAUGUUGAGAUAUCACAAUAUCUCUUAUUUAAUUAAUGCAUCUAUAUAUUUUGGUAAAGGGUGGAAGGCUCGGCCUUAUGCCUGGUGUUUUGUUGCACUCUUGCCGCCCUAGUUACUGUUAUACCCGGGAUUAUGUUCCUUGAGUUUGCGUUCCUUACGCGGUCGGGUGAUUUAUGGGACCCCCUUGACAGUUCGCCUUGAAUAAAACUCCUCCAGCAAGGCCCAACUUUGGUUUUACCAUUUUCCGCCUAAGCCUUUUUCCCCCGGGUUUUCGCGAGCCCGAGGGUCAUCUUAUUUUAACCCCCGGGCCAGUGUUCCUCUGAGUGCUGGUCCAAACUAGAGCACCAUGCGGGACCGUCCCUUGGCAACUUGGGUUAUGUUGGUACCUGUACGCUUCGCUUAUCCGGUGUGCCCUGAGAACAAGAUAUGUGCAGCUCCUAUCGGGAUUUGUCGGCACAUUCGGGCGGCUUUGCUGGUCUUGUUUUACCAUUGUCGAGAUGUCUUGUAAACCGGGAUUCCGAGACUGAUCGGGUCUUUCCGGGAGAAGGUUUAUCCUUCGUUGACCAUGAGAGCUUAUGAUGGGCUAAGUUGGGACACCCCUGCAGGGUAUUAUCUUUCGAAAGCCGUGCCCGCGGUUAUGAGGCAGAUGGGAAUUUGUUAAUGUCCGGUUGUAGAAAACUUGUCACUUGAACCAAUUAAAAUACAUCAACUGCGUGUGUAGCUGUGACGGUCUCUUCUCGGCGGAGUCCGGGAAGUGAACACGGUUUGAGUUAUGUAUGACGUAAGUAGGUGUUCAGGAUCACUUCUUGGUCAUUGCUAGAUGGCGACCGUUCUGUUGCUUCUCUUCUCGCUCUCAUUUGCGCAAGUUAGCCACCAUAUAUGCUUAUUGCCGCUGCAGCUCCACCUUAUUACACCAUCCUUUCCUACAAGCUUGAAUAGUCUUGAUAUUGCGGGUGUGAGAUUGCUGAGUCCUCGUGACUCACAGAUUCUACCAAAACAGUUGUAGGUGCCGACGAUGCCAGUGCAAAUGAUGGGGUCGAUCUCAAGUGGGAGUUCGACGAGGAACGUGGUCGUUACUAUGUGUCUUUUCCUGAUGAUCAGUAGUGGAGCCCAGUUGGGACGAUCGGGGAUCUAGCAUUUGGGGUUGUCUUAUUUUCAUUUGGAUUUUGACCGUAGUCGGUACAUAUAUGUUUGUAUUUUGGAUGAUGUAUGAAUUAUAUUCAUGUAUUGUGUGAAGUGGCGAUUGUAAGCCAACUCUUUAUCCCAUUCUUGUUCAUUACAUGGGAUUGUGUGAAGAUGACCCUUCUUGGGACAAAACCACUAUGCGGUUAUGCCUCUAAGUCGUGCCUCGACACGUGGGAGAUAUAGCCGCAUCGUGGGCGUUAUAGACCUCGUGAGGACUGUUGGCAGGACCAGCCUCGCAAGGGCGCCUGGAGAGACCAGCCUCGUGAGGACCGACCUCAGGGCAACGUAGGCCUCCCUCCGCUGCCACCACCACCAAGAAGGAACGACGGCCAUCAUCAGGACGAGGGGGAUGGGGGCUUCCAGGAGCCACGCGCCAUCGCCUGUAUCUUGGGUGGCGCUCAAGCCCCAGCCUCUCAGCGUAUCUUCAAGCAGUUUGCUCGAGAGGUGAACGCGGCCCUUCCCAGGCUCGAAGGCACGCGCCCGCUCAGGUGGUCCAAGUGCGCCAUCACCUUCAGCUCGUCAGACCACCUCAAGUGCGCGGCAAUAGCCGGCGCCCUCCCAAUGCUCUGCUCACCCAUCAUCAGCAACGGCCAAGUCACCAAGGCCGUCAUCGACGGCGGCGCAGGGCUCAAUGUCCUGUCUGUCGAGACGUUCGACAGCCUGCAAGUGCCAUACAAUCAGCUGCAGCCUACCAAGCCCUUCUCAGGAGUGACCGACGGCUCCACCACCCUGAUAGGGUAGGUUCGCCUCCCUGUCACCUUCGGCCAGCAUGACAACUACCCUACCGAGCUCAUCGACUUUGAUGUCGCCCACAUCUGCCUGCCGUACAAUGACAUCCUUGGGUAUCCAGCCUUGGCCAAGUUUAUGUCGGUGACCCACCACGGCUACAACGUCCUCAAGAUGCCAGGGAGCGGUGGCAUCAUCACGGUCCCCUAUGAAGAAAGAGAUGUGCUGUGCUCCCUCGAGCGCGCCUACCAAGCCGCAGCGGCCGAAGACCCCGACAACGAAGGCACCCGGUACCCUCCUGAGGCCAUCUUCAAGGAAGAAGCAACUACCCUACCCAGGGCCUCAGGAGAGCGGUGUUUCUAGCAGCACCACCUCAGGAUCUGCGCCCGCAGCAGGGGUGCCUCCCUCCCUCGCAUAGGAAGGCAUGCCCGGCGCCCUCCUUAGGCUGGGCUCGGGGGCUCUCUUCUGGAGGGCCUCAGACCUAGCCAAUGUCACGAGGGAGGCGCUCGGGCGCCAUGUGGAGGCAUGCUUCGCCGCACGUUUCCCUCAUGAGGGCACGAGGCGUGGAGCGCCUAGUGCUCAGGAGUUCAUCACCAAGGCGAUCCAGGAGCUUCAAGAGGCAAGGACCAUACGUGGUGACCAUCACCCACCACCCGGCGCAGCUCCCCAUCCCGGCGAGGACGGCGGGCUGCGCGUCUGCAUCGACAUUCCACGGCCUAAGAGGGCCGCAUCUCAGGGACGUUUCUGGCCGUAGCGCGUUGGACGGUGCGAGGGUCCACCUUGCAGCUAUGUUUGCAUGCCAUUCAGCUUGCCGAACGCGGCUGUCACCUUCCAGCGCCAUCUUUGGAGCGUCCUGGCAGCUCAGGAGGCCAGGCAUCACGCCUUCCUAGAGGAGAUCGCAACGGUUCUCCAGGAGCCACCUGGGCCCGCGGAGCCUCCCGAGGCACAGGACCCUGGCGGCUCGUGAGGAACAACUCUUCGGCAUGCAUCUUCGUCUACUCCAACAUCGCUCCAGCUACGGUAUCAGGUGAAUCUUUCCAGUUCUUUCAGUUGGGGGCGCCCCUCGGGCAGCAUUAUCCCCAAGUCGCACGGGUCUGUCCCCGCGACAUGUAUCGUUUUGCAUCUUUAGCUCACUCUGUUGGGGCCGCCCCUCGGGCUGUGUUAUCCCCAGGCCGCUCGGGUCCGUCCUAAUAGCAUGUCUCGUUCUUGCAUCUAUCUGAGCUAACCUAACUCAUUGCUCGAAUCAUUUCAUGGUUAUCACCUGCUUACCUGUUGCCCUUCGCGGCCACCCACGUUACUGACCGACCCCAUGCUUACCCCGCGACGGGGGCUACACAUACUGGCACGGUGCUUGUGCUCGGGUCCGUCCCUGCAACGCUGACAAACCUGAGCGGUCGAGCUCUGGCUCGCUGCAUGCCCCGCGCACGUCACCUCACCAGGCCCUCAGUGCCUUCGUAUCCUUGCGGAACGACCAACGGCGGACUAGCAAGCACGGUCGCAAUCUGUGUUCCGCCCCCGCGCUAACCUGCAAGAACUUCCAAAGGCGGGCGAUGGACGGUGCCGCAGGCUCCUUCCUUUUUUCGUGCAAUCCGCUUGCGCGUUAAAGGGUGGGCUCCUGAUCAUCGCGUCUCAGGAGCUCCUACUGAUUCUCCAGCCCUCACCCCUGGCCUUGACCACGACAACGCGAGCUGGCAUACCAGCGGCGGCUGAGCUCGCUCGAGGGUCGGGACCCGAGGACGCAGAGCACCUAGGAGAGCAUGAAAAAGGGAAUGAGGCCAGCGAGCCUAACCCAACCGUCUCGCAGCCGCUGAUACACGAAUCUGGCGCUGCACAAGGGAUCGACUCUGGACCGCUAAGAUAAGUCUCGCACUCGAGUCAGCCUAGCGCUGCGACACAGGAUUCCCAUCUCUCGCAGCCUUGCUACGGCGACGCCGCCUUCCUUUCCUACCUUCAGGUAGUUGCUUGCACGCUAAAAGGGACCUCUUGAGCAUCGCGCCUCAGGAGCUCUCACUGGACCUCGGGCCGCAAACCUCCUGGCCUUGACCAUGGCAUCGCGACCUGGCAUACCAGCGACGGCUGCAGCCUGCCUGGGGACUGGGACCUGUCGGUGUAGAGCACUAAGCUACCGCGGCAUAGGAAAGGGGGGACUAAGCCGAAGCAAGACACGCAAUCCUAAAUCUUCAUAAUAAGGAUGAUAUUAACACAAAAGGCACUACAGAUCCUUUACACGCCCCCAUGGGGUUCAUCUCGAUUCCUCGCAGGGAACAAAAGAAGAAGGUUUCUAGGAGCCCUAUCUACAGGCGUCGUCUCCGACACCAUCAUCAAUAGUGGGCCACGGGAGGCCGACACCAACCCCAUCCAGAUCAACGGCCGCGACGGACGGACGCCGCUGCCGCGCUCCGGGCAUGGCGGGAGGACGGGAGCACGUAGCUGUAGUCGCUUGUCUCCGGAGUCUCGUAGGGCUCGGGAGAGUCACUGGACUCCCAAGUGUCAUCGCUGCUGUCGGAGGAACUGCCGGCGAGGCCAGCGGCGGGCCAAUGCCUGCCGCAGCGCCGUCCCGGCGACGGCCAUCCUCGUCGUAGACCUUGAAGAACAUCGUGGAAGCACCAUCGUAUUCGAAGUGGAUGGCGAGGGCGCCCUCCGCGCGGCAAGCGCGGGCGACCUCGCCCCAUCCGCGUGUCAUGAAGAUCUUGCCUAAGGAGACGACCUCAACCUCCGCCCCUGUCGCCGGGGCGUCGCACUCGGCGUGCUGCUGCCACAGCUCGAGUGGCCCCCUCGGCGGCAUCUCUGCAGAGAAGAACUGCGGGAAUCGGAUCCAGGAGCGCGGUGGCAUUGCCCCCAACACCACAAGUUCGCGCGAGGAGCCCUCGGCAUGGGUUCCCGGGGCAGUGGGGUGCACCGCCACAGCACGGCCAUCGCGGCCAUAGUGCGAUCGACGCCAGUCGCUGCCUCCUCCUCCGGAGCCCUCUGCCUGGGCGUACAAAGGCAGCGGAUAGCCGGGGGGUGGCCGUUCAUGCCCAGGCCUCGUCACCUCCGGCCUCACAAUGACAUCGCAGGAGCGGGCCAUCCUCUUCUUCGGCGGGAGUGGCCCUGGCUCUUCGUGGGGAGUUUUCCCCUUCUUAGCAGUGGAGAACCUCCAUAUCGGCGACAUGAGUGUCGCAGCAAGGAGGAGGAAGAAGAAGCAGGCAGAACGGAGGAAGAGAUGAGCAACGGGGGCUCCGCCCCUCUCCUCAUUUAUAGCCAGAGGGAGGCCAACCGCCGGCCUCCACGAUCGUAGGUAAUGAUGGUUUUUCUGCAUGCAGCAGGGACUCGUCAAGUCGGGCAGUUGUCGAGGCAGCGUGGGGAAGCAGAGAUGCCCACGUCCCGUCAAUUGCCAUGCGUCAAUCAAGGCCGCAGGGUGUUGGGGCCCACAGCGCUCCUCACUUGCCCUUUGGCUUCGCCUCGAAGCCAAGUACGAGCGCGCCUUGGGCCCGGGGGCUACUGUCGGCGUCCUGGGAAUGGGAGUAUCCAGACUUGCCUGCCUGCAGCCCGGGGCAUGGCUCCACCAAUGGCCUGGUACGGCCCAUCUUCAUUAGAAAUCACUCAAGACCCUUGCGAGGGGCCAAGCCUCGCGAGGCGGACGGCACCAAGACCUCCCCUGGGGCGGCUUCGCUAGGCUGGCUCCCGAGGAGCGGAGAUAUCAAGGCAAGGGGCACCUCGCAAGGUGCUCGUGACGUGAGUCGUGACGACCAAGGCCAGGCGGGCGCUAGCGGAUGUAGAGUGCCAGUUUCCUCUUUGGUGUUAAAGGGGCAAGCACAGGCGAGGAGUCCCGAGGCAUCAGGCAAAGGUUUCCAUAUCGAUGCAACAAGACCAAGACCAGCAGGACGGCAGGACGGAGGUCACCAUGGAGCCCACAGUGGCGUCACCACCAGAGCCUUUGGCAGGCGAAGACCACCUUUUGUCAGGAUAGCCUAACAUUUGGGGAGAGGAUCCCGGCCUCUAUAAAUAGGACUAGCCACCACCGUGGGAGGCAGAUCAUCUCAUCUUGGAUCGGAUCCAUUCCACCAAGGCCACCUCACCAGCUCAUCGAGCUCUAGAACACCUCUCCUCAGGAGGCUGUUCAUCCCUUGUACGUGUUCAUCCUCAGCCUACGAGGCAAUCCACCAUACCACACUGGAGUAGGGUAUUACACUACAACGAUGGCCCGAACUAGUAUAAACUCUCGUGUCUCUUGUUCCUUGGGUUCGGCGAGCUAGGCCUUGAGAUCGUUGCGAGAGCGAGCUAGAGAGAGAGAGAGAGAUCAUCGUGCGCACCCCAGUGUUCGAACCUUAAGGAUUUGCCGGAACCCGUAAUCCGACAGACUUGCCUCACUAGGGUAGAUCUUCACGAAGUAGGCGAUCUCCUUGCCCAUACAAACUCCUUGGUUCAACUCCACAAUCUUGACGGAGGCUCCCAAGUGACACCUAACCAAUCUAGGAGACACCACUCUACAAAAGGUAAUAGAUGGUGUGUUUUUUGACCGUGAACAGUAGGAAAGACUCCUACUGUGUUAAUAUAUUAAUAGAUAUGGGUGACUGUACAAAUGGAUAUUUACAUGGAUAAUAGAUGGUGUGUUGAUGAUGAACUCCUUGCUUUUGUGCUUCAAAUGAUAGUCUCCCCAACACUCAACUCUCUCUCACAGAUUUGGAUUUGGUGGAAAGAUGAUUUGAGUGGAAAGCAACUUGGGGAAGGCUAGAGAUCAAGAUUCUUAUGGUUGGAUUGGAAUAUCUUGGUCUCAACACAUGAGUAGGUGGUUCUCUCUCAGAAAAUGAAUGCUGGAAGUGUAGGCACAUUCCAAUGGCUCUCUCCACGAAUGGAGGAAGGGUGGAGGGGUAUAUAUAGCCUCCACACCAAAUCUAACCGUUACACACAAUUUACCAAACUCGAUCAGACCGAAUGCUCAAACUCGGUCAGACCGAUUUAGUUCAAAAUGUGAACGUUAGGAUUUUUGGUGGGACCGACAUGACAACUCGGUGGGACUGAUUUCAUUUGGGUUAGGGCAUAACGUAAUCUCGGUGAGACCAAUCACAUGAACUCAGUGAGACCGAUUUCUCUAAUAGGCAAACAGAGAGUUGGUCAGGCAAACUCGGUGGGACCGAUCGCGCAUUUUGGUGAGACCGAAACCCUAUAAGAAGGAAACAGAGAGUUUGCAUUGCGAACUCGGUGGGACCGAUCGCUCAUCUCGGUUAGACCGAAACAUAAUGAAGGGAAACAUAGAGUUUGCAAUCCCAUCUUGGUGAGACCGAGAUCGCUAUCAGUGAGACCGAACUGAUUAGGGUUUCUGGCAGUGGCUAUGUCAAAUGAACUCGGGUGCGCCGGAUAGAUCAAAUCGGUGGGGCCGAGUUUGACUUUUGGUUUUGGACAUAUGUGGAUAUGAGAAAGUAGUUGAGGGCUUUUGGAGCUUAUCACUAAGCAUUUUGAGCAAGCAAGCCAUUAAGCAACACCUCAUCCCCUUCUAAUAGUAUUGGCUUUUCCUAUGGACUCAAUGUGAUCAUGGAUCACUAAAAUGAAAAUGUAGAGUCUUGAGCUUGAGGCAAUAUGUGUCCUUAGCAUUUUGAGGGGUCCGCAUUCCUAGUCCAUACCAUGCCAAUCAUUGAACUUUCUGAAAUGAUCAUGUUGAAAGAGUAUUAGUUCAAUGAACUAUAUGUUGUUAGGAAUUACCAAAACCACCCAGGGAUUAGUUGCACUUUCAUAUACCUUCAAGCACUCACCUCCCCGGCAACGGCGCUAGAAAAGAUCUUGAUGUCUACUAUGCAACUUGUUCCUGUAGACGUGUGUUGGGCCUCCAAGCGCAGUGUUUUGUAGAACAGUAGCAAUUUUCCCUCAAGUGGAUGACCUAAGGUUUAUCAAUCCGUGGGAGGCGUAGAAUGAAUAUAGUUUCUAUCAAACAAAGCUGCAACCAAAUAAUAAAAAGUCUCUUGCGUCCCCAACACACCAAAUACAAUGGUAAUUUAUAUAGGUGCACUAGUUUGGCGAAGAGAUGGUGAUACAAGUGUAAUAUAGAUAGUAGAUAUUGAUUUUUGUAAUAAGAACAAUAAAAACAGCAAGGUAGCAAGUAACAAAAGUGAUCACAAACGGUAUUGCAAUGCUUGAAAAUGAGGCCUAGGGUCCGUACUUUCGCUAGUGCAAUCUCUCAACAAUGCUAAUAUAAUUGGAUCAUAUAACCAUCCCUCAACGUGACAUGAAGAAUCACUCCAAAGUUCCUAUCUAGCGGAGAACAUAAGAAGAAAUCAUUUGUAGGGUACAAAACCACCUCGAAGCUUUUCUUUCCAAUCGAUCUAUCCAAGAGUUCGUACUAAAAUAACACCAAAUAAUUUCAGAUUCAUAAUACUCAAUCCAAGACAAAGAACCUCAAAGAGUGCCCCGAGAUUUCUACCAGAGAAACAAAUACAAGAACGUGCAUCAACCCGUAUGCGUAGAUUACCCCAAUGUCACCUCGGGAAUCCGCGAGUUGGAGUGCCAAAACAUAUAUCAAGUCAAUCAAAAUAAUACCCCAUUGUCACCAUGAGUAUUCAUAUGCAAGACAUAUAUCAAGUGCUCUCAGAUCCGUAAAAGUAUUCAAUCCGAUAAAAUGAAAUCUCAAAGGGAAAACUCAAUUCAUCACAACAAGAUAGAGAGGGGAAAACACCAUAUAAUCCGACUAUAAUAACAAAGCCCGCGAUACAUCAAGAUCGUGACAUCUCAAUAACAUGAGAGAGAGAGGGAUUAAACACAGCUACUGGUAGAAACCCUCAGCCCCGAGGGUGGAUUACUCCCUCCUCAUCGUGGUGGCCGCCGGGAUGAUGAAGAUGGCCGCCGGUGAUGAUUCCCCCUCCGGCAGGGUGCCGGAACGGGGUCUAGAUUGGUUUCUCGUGGCUACAGAGCCUUGCUGCCAUGGAUCUUCUGAUCUAGGGUAACCCUGAGGGUUUUUGGAAUAUUUGGUGAUUUAUAGGGCAAAGAGGGGGUGCGGGAGGCCACCAAGUUGGGCACAACCCACCUGGGCACGCCUGGGCCCCCAGGCACGCCCUGGUGGGUUGUGCCCCCCUCGGGGCACCCCCAGGUGCUUCUCUGGCCCACUGGAUGUCUUCUGGUAUCCACAAAAAGUUUCACGGUGUUUGGACUCUGUUUGAUAUUGAUUUCCUGCGAUGUAAAAAACAAGCAAAAAACAGCAACUGGCACUGGGCACUGGGUCAAUAGGUUAGUCCCAAAAAAUGAUAUAAAGUUGCUAUAAAAUGAUUGUAAAAUAUCCAAGAAUGAUAAUAUAACAACAUGAAUACUUCAUAAAUAAUAGAUACGGUGGAGACAUAUCAGGUAUUAUUAGACGUUGUGUACCUGAGCAUGAACAGGGACAAAUCCUACGGAAAUGUCACUUCGAAGCUUAUGAAGGACAUCAUGCGGGAGACAGAACUGCUCACAAGGUAUUGCAAUCUGGAUUUUAUUGGCCUACUCUCUUCAAGGAUGCUCUUAAGUUUGUCUUAACCUGUGAUGAAUGUCAAAGAAUAGGUAAUAUCGGUAAGCGUCAAGAAAUUCCUAUUAAUUAUUCACUUGUUGUUGAACCAUUUGAUGUUUGGGGAUUUGAUUACAUGGGACCUUUUCCUUCCUUUAAUGGGUAUACUCAUAUUUUGGUUGCUGUUGAUUAUGUUACUAAGUGGGUAGAAGCUAUUCCAACUAGUAGUGUUGAUCACAACACCUCAAUUAAAAUGCUUAAAGAAGUUAUUUUCUCAAGGUUUGGAGUCCCUAGAUAUUUAAUGACUGAUGGUGGUUCACACUUUAUUCAUGGUGCUUUCCGUAAAAUGCUGCCAAGUAUGAUGUUAACCAUAGAAUCGCAUCAUCAUAUCAUCCUCAGUCUAGUGGUCAAGUUGAACUUAGCAAUAGAGAAAUAAAAUUAAUUUUUCAAAAGACUGUCAAUAGGUCCCGGAAGAAUUUAUCUAAGAAAUUAGAUGAUGCACUUUGGGCUUAUAGAACAGCAUAUAAAAAUCCUAUGGGUAUGUCUCCUUAUAAAAUAGUUUAUGGAAAAACUUGUCAUUUGCCUCUUGAGUUAGAACAUAAAGCAUAUUGGGCAAUUAAAGAACUCAUCUAUGAUUUCAAAAUUGCUGGAGAGAAGAGUUUAUUUGAUAUUAGCUCAUUAGAUGAAUGGAGAACCCAAGCUUAUGAAAUGCCAAGUUAUUUUAAGAAAAAGUUAAGAGUUGGCAUGAUAAAAGAAUCCAAAAGCAUGAGUUCAAAGUUGGAGAAUAUGUUCUUCUGUACAACUCUCGUUUCAGAUUCUCUGUAGGAAAACUCCUCUCCAAAUGGGAAGGACCCUAUGCUAUCGAAGAGGUUUAUCGGUCUGGAGCUAUCAAAAUAAAUAAUGCCGAAGGUACUAACCCGAAGGUUGUUAAUGGGCAACGAAUAAAACAUUAUAUCUCAGGUACGCCCAUUAAUGUUGAAAGCAAUAUUAUCCAAACUCUGACAUCGGAAGAACACAUAAAGGAAACUUUCCGGAACACUCCAGAAUCGUGCAUAUGAAUACUCAUGGUGACAAUGGGGUAUCGAGGGGGGCACAACCCACCAGGGCGUGCCUGGGGGCCCAGGCGUGCCCAGGUGGGUUGUGCCCACCCUGGUGGCCUCCCGCACCCCUCUUCGCCCUAUAAAUUCCCAAAUAUUCCAAAAACCCAUCGGGGUAACCCUAGAUCAGAAGUUCCGCCGCUGCAAGGCUCUGUAGACACGAGAAACCAAUCUAGAUCCCGUUCCGGCACCCUGCCGGAGGGGGGAAUCAUCACCGGUGGCCAUCUCCAUCAUCCCGGUGGCCACCAUGACGAGGAGGGAGUAGUCCACCCUCGGGGCUGAGGGUUUGUACCAGUAGGUAUGUGUUUAAUCUCUCUCUCUCUCUCUCUCUCUCUCUCGUAUUCUUGAGAUGUCACGAUCUUGAUGUAUCACGGGCUUUGUUAAUAUAGUCGGAACAUAUGCAGUUUUCCCCUCUCUAUCUUGUUGUGAUGCAUUGAGUUUUCCCUUUGAGAUUUCGUUUUAUUGGAUUGAAUACUUUUAUGGAUUUGAGAGCACUUGAUAUAUGUCUUGCAUAUGAAUACUCAUGGUGACAAUGGGGUAUCGUAUUGAUUCACUCGAUAUAUGUUCUGGCACUCAACUCACGGAUUCCCAACGUGACAUUGGGGUGAUCUACACAUAGGAGUUGAUGCAUGUUCUUGUCUUUGUUUCACCGGUAGAAAUCUUGGGGCACUCUUUGAGGUUCUUUGUGUUGGAUUGAGUAUUAUGAAUCCGAAUUAUUUGGUGUUAUUUUAGUACGAACUGUUGGAUAGGUCGAUCGGAAAGAAUAGCUUCGAGGUGGUUUCGUACCCUACAAAUAAGUUAUUCUUAUGUUCUUCGCUAGAUAGAAACUUUGGAGUGAUUCUUCAUCGCACUUCGAGGGAUGGUUAUAUGAUCCAAUUAUAUUAGCAUUGUUGAGAGAUUGCACUAGUGAAAGUACGGACUCUAGGCCUCAUUUUAAAGCAUUGCAAUACCGUUUGUGCUCGGUUUUAUCAAUUGAUACCUUGCUGUUUUUAUUUAUUCAGAUUAUAAAAAUAUAUUUCUACCAUCCAUAUUACACUUUUAUUAUCAUCUCUUCACUGAACUAGUACACCAAUACAAUUUUCCAUUGUAUUGGGUGUAUUGGGGGCACAAGAUAUUUCUUGUAUUUGGUUGCAGGGUUGUUUGAGAGAGAACAUCUUCAUCCUAUGCCUCUCACGGAUUGAUAAACCUUAGGUCAUCCACUUGAGGGAAAAUUGUUACUGUCCUACAAAACUCAGCGCUUGGAGUCCCAACACGUUUCUACAAGAAUAAUGUUGCGUAGUAGACAUCAAGCUCUUUUCUAGCGCCAUUGCCGGGGAGGUGAGUGCUUGAAGGUAUAUCUUUAGAUCUUGCAAUCGAAUCUUUUAGUUUCUUGUUUUAUCACUAGUUUGGUUUUAUAAAUGAAAACUACAAAAAAAUGGAAUUGAGGUUGCGUCAUAUUAUUCAUCUUUAAAAUGUCUUUCGUGAAAAUGAUGGAAAGGAAAAUUGUGCCCAAUUCAUAGAAGAAGAAUUUUAUAAAAUGUUUGAUAAAAAAUCUUUGAAUCAUGAGCAUGAUUGGAAUGUUGUUAGUAUGAAUUCUUUGGAUAUUCAUGAUGCUAAUGAUAUGCAAAACCAUCAGCUUGCGGAAGCUAUGUUUGAUGAAGAUGAUACUUUUAGUCCCCCAAGAUUUGAUGUGCACAUCUAUUAUAUAUUAAAAGUGUUUGAAGGGAUAACCAGAAAAAAGCAUUAAACUAGAAAAUCCCACAAAAAUUAGAAACAUCUAACCGUUAAUUUUAGUACAAAAUUAAUGACAUCCAUUAUAUCACGGUAAUUUCACAAAAAAUUACCUACCAAUGCCACCAAAGAGACUACCCCUUUAUACCCUAGAAAAACCCACCCGUCCUCUCUCCUAUGCGUUCAUAAGAAAAGAAAAAGAAGGCAUCCGCUCCCGUGCGUUCGCAAGGAGCGGAGAUCCAUGCAGGCUAGCUCAAACUCUCAAGGAGCGGAGAUCCAUGCAGGCUAGCUCAAACUCUACGAAGUUGAUCGGACACACGGGAAGUACAAGAGCUUGAUUGCUUGAUUGCUUUGUAAAGUAAUACAGCAGUAACUAACACACAUAUAUUAUUGUUAGCAUCCGGCCAUAGCAAUCCAGCGCAUCUAGCCGAAGAGCAAUCGGCAAGUUGUGGACGCCAGAUUGAUCAAGCUAACCUAUUCAAUUUUCCUUUUGUAGCACAUGCCUGAUGGCAAGUUUCUUGCUGAUUAGUUUUUUCUAGAGGGAUGGCAACCAAGGACUAUAAGUAACAACGGGUGCACAACAUCAAAAUUGAGGACAGAGAAAAAAAGUCACCAGAUAUGUAUGUUGUACUCUCUCCAUCCCAAAAAGCUUGUCGCUCAAAUGGAUAUACAAGUAACAAAGGGUGCAUAGAAUCAGAACUAAGGACAGAGAAAAAAAUCAUCAGAUAUGUAUGUUGUACUCCAUCCAUCCCGAAAAGUAUAGGUUUGAAUUUUAGUAUGAACAAGAACAACCAAUAUUAAUAUUUAAAUGAUCCAGAACUAAGAAACUUGAGCAUCGAAUGUACUGAUAUGAAAAUUUUGAACUUCAUAGAGCCAUCUGGCAAGUGCAACUACGUGGUGCAAUUUUCUGGUAAGAAGAUUGUCAGGUAUAGCUAGAAGCAUGAAUAUUUCAGACUGUGCUACCAACUGAGAGAACCACUCACUUAACUUAUGAAAUAGCUAUGGAAAGACACUAGGAAGAGGUCAAAAAACUACAUGCAAAAUAUCAUAUUAAAAAGGAAGAAAGGAAGAUCGGUUGGAACGAUAUAAACGUGGACAUCUAUACGUAACAUUCUCAAGAGUCACAAAAAGAGAUUGACCACAGAUAAUUAAAUGAUGAAGAUAGCGAUGACGAUGAGGUCAAGUACAUAGUCUACAAAUAAAUUAUCCAAGUAGUGAACUAAAAUGCACACUUUACGUAUGAUGUUGCCAGCCUUUUACAUAAGCACAAGUACAUGGAUAAUUAGUUCCUACAAAAUCUCUUCAAUUUAAUAAAUUGACUUAUCUAUGCUAACAUGAAUAUUACACAGUAUAUGAGAGGAAGGGUAUAGUCUACUAUUCUAGAGAAACAUUGGAAAAUAAUGCAUGGACAUUUAAUGAAAAUAGUUCCCAAAAAAUGGUAAAAGUUUAAAACACCUCUAUGCUUAUGGCUNNNNNNNNNNNNNNNNNNNNNNNNNNNNNNNNNNNNNNNNNNNNNNNNNNNNNNNNNNNNNNNNNNNNNNNNNNNNNNNNNNNNNNNNNNNNNNNNNNNNNNNNNNNNNNNNNNNNNNNNNNNNNNNNNNNNNNNNNNNNNNNNNNNNNNNNNNNNNNNNNNNNNNNNNNNNNNNNNNNNNNNNNNNNNNNNNNNNNNNNNNNNNNNNNNNNNNNNNNNNNNNNNNNNNNNNNNNNNNNNNNNNNNNNNNNNNNNNNNNNNNNNNNNNNNNNNCUAUUUCGCGUAACAGAAUAUUAUUCUGUUACCCUACUUGAACUGAUCGUCUUUUCGUCGCGGUUUCAUGCGGUUGUACUGAUGAUGUUCAUCUCGUCGAACUGAUCGUCUUUUCGUCGGAAUGGGCGUAUAAUAUAUUGUUGGAAAGCUCUUGACAUCUACAUUACAAAUAUAUAGGAAUAUUUUGCAAAAUCAUCACGGUUUAAGAGCAGUUUCAAAAAACCGUUUUUUUCAAAACCAAAAAUGCGAAUCGUAUUUUGGACUCAAUUUUCAAACGGUUUUUCGGAAUUGAGCAAAUAAGAUGGCGUUGGAAAGCUGGUAAAAAUCCGCAUCUUCCAUAUAUCUACCUUUUUUUAAAAUUAUAUACAAUUUAAAAUUAAUUUGAAAAAUGGUGAAAUUCUGGGAGAAAUAUAUUUUCGUGUUUUUUUGCAAAUGGUUUGUCAGAUUGAUGCAAAUGAUACGGCUUUGGAAAGCUAUGGAAAAUGCACAAUUUUUUCGUAUAGAAAUAUUUUUUUAAUUACUUACGGUUUAAAAACGAAUUCGAAUAUGGUCAAAUUUGAUUUUGGACGUGAUUUUUUUAAAGGUUUGCCGAAAUGGGGCAAAAAAUAUACCGUUGGAUAGCUAUCGAAAAUGCGAAACUUAAUCAUGUUGAACGUUUUCUCAAAUUCGCAAUCGUUGAUGAGUAAUUUUGAAUACGGUGACACACGUCGUGAUGUUUUUCCGUCAAAAAAAGCAGAGUACUUGUACUGAACUAUGUACGUGUGCGUACUGAAUUUAUAUUUCACAGAGUAUUUUUGAAAGGUUCCAAAAGGAGAGUACUUGAAUGGAUGUUUGGAUGGCUUUGUAUUGAGCGUGUUUUCAUAGACUAGACUUAUACUCUGUUUUUUCGUUAGAUGAUUUUCCUAGUAACGUUUCAAUGGUACACGAUAUCAUAGUCACCGAACUUGCAUGGUUUAUAUGGUGAACUGAAUCAUAUUCUUUUGAAAAGAAAAUUUUCAUGUGUUUUUUUUAACUCAACUUUUUUUGCAACGAUGUGUUGGACUAUGUUUGUACUGAUUUAUGUGUGUAUUGGUACUGAUAUAUUUUUCAUAGAGUAGUUUUAAAUGGUUCCGAAAAAGUAGUACUUGAACUGAUGCCAUAUAGAUUUAUACUGAGCGUGUUUUCACAGACUAGAUUUUACUGUUUAUCUUUGAUACGGUUUCCUCGGUUUACGGUAUCAUAGUCCUCGAACUUGCAUUGUAUAUACUACUGAGCUGAAUGAUAUUUUCUCAUAAAGUAAAGAGAAAAAAAUCAUGUGUUUCUUUUUGCAACGAUGUUUUGGACUUCUCUCGUCUCAACUACUGUUUUUCAUUAACAUAGGUUUAUCAUUUGAUAAAAAAGUUCAUACUAAACAAACUGUUUUGAAAUUUUCCACCGACAACACAUGAACUUCUGAGUUCUCCCGAUCAUACAAUAUAAUACAUAGAAUAGAUCAUAAUAACAUUUAUCACAAAAAAAUUGUUGAGCGGUCACUGCUCCAUGUAUCAUCUUCAACUAAUGGAAGUAUGUUGUGCAGUACACCAUCUCAUGAAGAUAGUGUGUCCAUUGCCCAAUGCUUCACUGAUCCUUUUGUAAAAUCAACAUCUUCAUCAACAUGUCACACAACAUAGUAAAUAGUGUGAGCACAAAAUAAUACAAGUGAAUAGAUCAUUUCGACUUAUAUGACUAGAUUAUUUGAACUACCUCGGGGUUGAUCAUGAACUUAUAGAAGUAAAAGAGUAGAUUUUAAUUUUAAAUGUGUUUUCUCAUCUGAAUUGACGGUGUCAUCAUCACUAAACUUGCAUAGUUUAUAUAGUUUCACUGACUGAAUUUCUUCCCGAGAAAAGUUUGUGUUUUGAACUUAUAUGCUAGAGCUUGAACAAUGCAUAGCACAUACACACAAGAAUUAAGUUUUGAAAAGAAUUUAGUUACAAUGUAUUUAACUAAAACCACAUCAACUUUUUUGGAACAAAGGUAAUAAUACAGUACAGGAGCAAUUUAGUUGAAUGUUUUUCAAUUUUAAUGAACUUGAGGUUCUCUCAACUCUAAACUUUCGGCUACUUCACAAUUCAUAACACUAGAAGGAUUGUGGCCUUUUGGUAUUUUCUUAUACUGGGGCAAACAUCAGCGGCUCCUUGAGAAAGCUUGCGUGGUCAGUAGCAAGUUGCUCUCACAAUUGUGUCGACAUGGAGAAGGAGCCUGUAGGUCAUCCCACAACAGAGUAACUUCUCUGCCAUACAAGAAAUCAAAAGCAGUAACUGUACAUAUUUUGGACAUACAAGCAUAAUGGAAAUUUACAGAACUAACAUGGUGUAUCCUGAUACAUAGUACUCAUGCUUUGGGAAUUUUUGAACUGAGAAAAGAAGUGCAGGCGGCUCGAGCGACAAGAGAAGAAGAGCAUGGGCUCACCAGGGAAGGAGGUAUACAGACGACAACAACAACGGUUGAAGAUCGAGACAAUAGCGGGAGAAGGGCCUUUUGAGGCCGGUGGCGCUGCGUUUACCCAUGGCGUCCAACUGAAACGAACUAAAAUUAGAUUUUGAACUGAACUAAAUCCAUCUGCAGAAAACACACCUAGUUGAAUUAAACUAAAAUUAGAAAUUGAACUGAACUAAAAUAAGAGAAUGUAACAGAACCAAUUUUUAGUGUCUGAACUGAACUAAAAAAGAAAUUGCAAGAGAAUAAACAAGUACAAGCACGAGAAUAGCAAGAGGAGUUGCUGCAUGUUUAUGUGAAUGCCUAUGUUUGUUCACUACACCAUGUAUAUGUUGCUCAGUACACCAUGUGAUGCAACCACAAACUCUUUUUCUCUCUGAAAAAGCAAGAUUCACAAAUGACCUACAUUUCUAGCAUCGGUACAUACUUGUCAUGAACUGACAGAAUUACACAAGUAGACCAAAUUCGAACUAGAUUAGAAGAAAUUCUACAAAGCAUCAUUUCUAGCAUCGGUACAUACUUGUCCUUUUAUGAACGGAUGUCAGAUAUACAUGGCGAACUGCUAUACCACCUACAGAGCAUCAUUUUUCUAUGAGAAAACACAAUUCAUCUUUUACCAUUUUCGUUAUAUAUCACAUUUGAACAAGCAUCUUGAACUUCUGCUAAGAAAGCACACCAUCAGAAUAUCGAAAUCCUUCAGUAAACUGCAGUCACUCAGUCCCCAAAUAAAAAUAAAAAUUACAAAGGCGAAACAAAUCGACGAUGAUGCAUUUUCCUUGCUGUCAAUUUAUGUUUCCUUGCUUCAAGUCAAGUUUGCUAUUUUUUAAGCUGAUGCAUGUUGCACUAUAGGACUACUAUUGGUUUGCAAAUUGAACUUGAGUACUUUUAAUUUUUUUGCAUAAUUUACUGCCAAAACCUUUACCACAAUUGAACACAUCUGCAUUAACAAGUUGGCCCUGGGAGCACAAAAAGUUAACUCAGACGAUUAUCUAGUUGAACUAAGAUAGCCAGCUAACUGAUUGCAAAAAAAUGACAACUACCAGCACUACAAAAAUGCAUUGUUACAGGCAGUGAGUAAACACAAAAUUCCCUUUCCUAAAAAAUCAAUGUUAAAGCUCACAAAGUCUGAAUUGUUUGGCAAUUUUUGGCCAACUGAUGCAAAAAUCCCCCAUGCAGAAAAUUGUCAUACAAUAUAAAAUUGAUGAACUGAACUAUUUGAAUAACACAAAUUGAACUUUUGUGUAUGCUUAAUUAUGAUCUGAUAAUAAAAUACACAAUGAACUGGUAGACCUAGUGUAUUUUUCUUUUGUACAGAGCACAACCAAACUGGUUUUCUAACACAACAUCGCACUGCUUUCAUGUUUUUCUAUGAACUCUCCGUAGAACACAUAGUAUGACGUUUCUACAACUUCUUUUUUUGAAAAAAAUCCUGAACAUCUUACGUUUAUGUCUUUGAACUUGUAAAUUUUCAAAACAUGAACCUGCAAUUUUUUUGCCGAGUGCAUACGACACAUAAUAUGCAUGAAAACAUAAGAGAUGAAGAUGAAAAACACGCGCAAAAAUAGUAGCAAAUUCACAUAUAUGAAAUAAAAUACCUCUCCAAUAUUGGACAGGUCAACAUCACACAUCACGAAAUUUUUCGGACAGUUCAGUGUGUCAAGUAUCAUCGGUUCACAGAUCCAAGAGGGAGCAGAUCAGAGGAAAGGAAGGUGAGCGCCAGUAGCGUACAGGCACCUGGAUGUGGCGGCCAGCUUGCGGGGUGGAGGGAAAGGAGGCUGGCAGCGCUGGGGGACGGUCUCGUUGCCGGCGGGGGAGCAGCGCUGGGGGAGGGAGGAGGCCGGUGGAGCUGCGUCGGCGGAGGNNNNNNNNNNNNNNNNNNNNNNNNNNNNNNNNNNNNNNNNNNNNNNNNNNNNNNNNNNNNNNNNNNNNNNNNNNNNNNNNNNNNNNNNNNNNNNNNNNNNNNNNNNNNNNNNNNNNNNNNNNNNNNNNNNNNNNNNNNNNNNNNNNNNNNNNNNNNNNNNNNNNNNNNNNNNNNNNNNNNNNNNNNNNNNNNNNNNNNNNNNNNNNNNNNNNNNNNNNNNNNNNNNNNNNNNNNNNNNNNNNNNNNNNNNNNNNNNNNNNNNNNNNNNNNNNNNNNNNNNNNNNNNNNNNNNNAGGCCGGGGGCGCGACGCGGGAGGAGGGAGGAGGUCGGGGAGCGGCGCCAGAGGAGGGAGGUGCCUGGGGGAGCGGCGCUGGAGGAGGAAGGAGGUAGGGGAGGCGGCGGCGUGACGGGGGAUCGGGGUUGGGGUGGUGGGAUUGGGGAUCGGGAGGUUGGUGGGUACGGGUGAGUGACCCUUUUUUUCUCUUUGUUUCUUUUUGGUCGGUACCAGUUCGGAGCUGGUCAGCUGGAUAUGAGAAUUUGUGAUCGCGCUCUAUUAGAGCAACUCAAAGGGAGAGAUCCAUUUUGUUCGUUUGGGUCAUCCGGACAGAAAAGAUGGCCCAACGGGCGACCCGAGCGGACAAGACGUCCGCCUGUUGUCCGUUUCUUGUCCGUUUGGACCCAAACUGGGCCCAAAUUUGAGUCACAAAUGGGUCAGCGCGGACAAACGCGGACGCUCUCGUCGCUCGCGCGUGUCCUCGCGUGUCCAGCCUGUUCCCACGCAUCAGCGACCCGCACUAGCGAUUCUGCCCCCACCGUUGCCGCCCGCUCGUCCGUAACUCCCGCGCAGCCGCCCGCUCGUCCCGAGCUCCUACGCCGCUGCACCAACCCCGUCGGCCGUUGCCCAGAUGCGGCGCCGGCCAGCCAGAUCCAUCCGGCCCCGUGCGGAUCCGCCGCCCCUCACGAGUCUUCGCGCCUCGGCCGGCCCCCGUCGUCCCCAUCAUCCUCUCGCUGCGCCGCCGCCAUGGACGCCUUCACAGCAUCGAGCCUGGGGUUCCUCUCCAACUUGGGGUUCUGAUUCGAUUCCUGGAUCCGAUUCAAUGGGUUCCUCUCCAACCUGGGGUUCGCCAGGGUGGGGGCGCUGCAGCUCCUCGACGCCGGGAAAAGGCAGCCGCAGCCGGCGAGCUUCGCCGAUUUCAACGGGUUCCUCUCCAACCUGGGGUUCGCCAAGGUGGGGGCAGCACCGGCGAGCUUUGCUGAUGACUCCCAGGCCUCGACUGCUGCGGUCAACUCUGUCCACGGCGGUCAACUCAGUUCACUCGGCUGCUGCGUUUGUCCGCUUGAGGGCUGUGCGUUGGGUGCAUCCACAGUCCGUUUUGUCCGCCCCAUGUCUGCCUAGGCGGACACAUGACCCAAACGGACAACAAACGUAUAAAAUCCGUGUCCGUUUGGGUCUUUGCGUUGGAGUUGCUCUUAGGGAGUAACAAAAUAGUCCAAUCCUAUAUAUAUAUAUAUAUAUAUAUAUAUAUAUAUACAUAAACACUAUUCUGAUCACGGGAGUCACGGGAUCAGAAUAAUAUUCUGAUCACAACCUGAACUGCCUGAAUAACUGGCCUAAACUUCCCUCUGUACGAACUCGACCUUCGGCCUAUCUUCUCAACCUUGUCUCCCGUGCGAAUUUUUUUGGUCAGUCAUGUUCUAUGUGAUGUAAGUGUAAUCUACAAAUGGUUUUUAGCAACUAAAUGCCCGUUUUAAAUAUAAAUCUCGCUCAUUGGCUGAUUUGCUCUCGGGUCGUGAUGAAACAAGCCUCUGUUGCAAUUUUACUACCUGAGUUGUUCGACCUGAACUUCCCCGUGUGCUAGGUUGAACUUCCGCCAACAUUGCCCAAAUGGGGCUUGCGAUAUACUGUUGGAAAGCUAUGGACACCAGUAUCAUGACCCAAGUUAAAUUUUUGGCAAAAUGUAAGCGGUUUAAGAGCAGUUUUGAAAACCGUUUUUCCUUCAUACAAAAAACAUGAAUCAUAUUUUUGAUCGUAUUUCUAAACAGUUUAUCGGAAUGAGACAAAUAAUAUGGGGUUGGAAAGCUGAUGUAAAACCGCUUCUUCCAUAUGUUGAAAGUUUUCUCUAAUUCCCUAUGGUUGAAAAGGAAUUUGGAAAAUUGUAAAAUUUUACAAACCGAACAAUCGAGUUCGUAUUUUUUAUGUCUUUUGUAAAUGGCUAAUCCAAUUAAGGCAAAUGAUAUGGCGUUGGAAAGGUUAUGAAAAUGCGCAACUUUUUUUUCAUGUUUAAAAUUUUCUAAUUUCGAACGGUUUAAAAGUAAUUUAGAAAACGGUCCAAGUUGCAUCGAGUUUGUAUUUUCGAGCUAAUUUUUGAACCGUACGUCUGAAUGCAGCAAAUGAUAUGGCGCUGGAAAGCUUGACUAAUGCGAAACGUUUUGGUAUAUAUUGUUUCUCCCAAUUCCUGACCGUUUUAAGUGAAUUUAGAAAAUGUCUAAAAACAUAUUUUCGCCGUAAUUUCUACAAAAUUUACCAGAAUGGGGCAAAUAAUAUAUCGUUGAAAAGCUACGGAAAAUGCGAAACUUUUUCAUGUUGAUAGUUUUCUCUGAUUCCCAGCCGUUUUCAAGUAAUAUCGAAAACGGCGGGAUCAUUUGUUCUGUCUGUAUCACGAAACAGAUUCUUCGAAAAUGCACCUCGUGAAGAACUUGAACUUCUCGGCAUGUCUACUUGAACUUCACUCUGUUUUUCACGUGCUUUUUUUGCUCGUAGAUCUCUUUCAGGACCCCGAUUCCAAGUCAUGUCGAUCUAGCCGGUAACACCUCAUAUCACUUUGCGGCCUCACGCACGGUAUUCCCACGGGUGUCGCCUUACCAUGGCCCGGGACCGUUUGCGCCUUUUGGCUCACGUACAUGAUAGUGUCGCUAGCAUCCAUAUGACAGAGAACCCGGGCCGACAUGACUAGUCGUGAACCCAAAGUGGCACUAACUUACGGGGACAAGCAUACAUGAAUCAACAUCAAACAUGUCGGUCAGCAGCGUGCGAAUCCGGGCUGUAGCACUGGGCUAACAGGACUCCGGUGAACCGGGCUGUAGCAGGCUAGGCAGGACUCUGGAUGUCACCGCGUGACAUUUCCCCAAAGAGACAGACACAGGAACGAAGUGAAUCACAUGUCGGCCAGUCAAGUGUUCCGAAGCAGUAGUGCUGGGCAAGAAGGACUCCGGUGAACCGGGCUGUAGCGGACUACUAUGGCUCAUGGAAGCACAAGACUACAUUUCCCCAUAAGAGAGGCUACCAAGGAUAAACAACUAGGUUGUCGGAUCCCACACAUACCAAGCAUUUUAUACACACAAUAUGCUCGAUAUGUGUAAAUACAAUAUGGCAUCACAACAAAACUCUACGACUCAAAGUAUUUAUUCAUUAGGCUCCGAGGAGCGAGAUAUUACAAACAUGGGUAUCAUGACCCAACAUUCAGAGCAUACAAGUCAAAGCACAUGCGGAAGCUUAACAUGUCUGAGUACAGACAUCUACAAAUGAAAAAGGCUGAGAAGCCUGACUAUCUACCAGAUCCUGCCGAGGGCACAAGAUCGUAGCUGAGGUAACAAGCUAGACGUCGAAGUUCAUGCGGUAUUACUAGCGAUACUGAAGUCUCUCUGCAAAAACAUAAAAUAGGCAAACGUGAGUACAAAUGUACCCAGCAAGACUUACAUCAGAACUAACUACAUAUGCAUCAGUAUCAACAAGGGGGGUGGUGGAGGUUAACUGCAGCAAGCCAGCUUUGACUCGGUGGCUAUCCUAAACUACGUCUGCAAGUAACUCUUUUGAGGUAGCGCACACGAGUCCACAUAUUCACCAUAUCAAUACACCACUAGGGAUCAGCUCCCGUCUCCCUACGAGAACGCCAUCCAUAGCACUCAUGCUUAUCUUGCGCAUUUUUGAGUAUCCACUUUCACUUGUCUAUGAACUUUUAUAGGCAACCCAGAAGUCCUUUACCGUGGACGCGGCUAUUCGAAUAGAUCAUUUAUAACCCUGCAGGGGUGUACUUCUUCACACAUGUUUCCACCACUUAGCGUCUGCACACGACAUGUGCUCGGCAGACUUCAAGCGAAAGCCGACGUGGGUGUAGACCACGACCUAACUAACCACACAAGUCUCUAGUCCAUGUUUAUCGCCUAUUCAGGUUCCAUCCGUGAGGAGAUCCGGCCGGGGUUUCGCUCACAGCCCCAAACGAUGUGUGCAGGGUUCCCGAGACACCAAACGGGCGCCCAGUACACUGGGCCACGGUGUGUCUACCGCAUCAUCGCCCACCCCUAGGGUCAGCGCUAUGCACGGCCUCCAACACAUAUCCUAUAGACACCAGAAACUAGUUGCAACUCCUGGACAGAGGACAAGGGCGGCUAAUAAGUCGAGCGGGGUCAUAUUUCAGGGCCCAAUGUGUGGUAGUAGCUCUUCAUGGAUCACAAACACAGAACUCAGUUCCUGAGGAUGGUUUCAGUGAGACAACCCACCAUGUACUCCUACAUGGCCUCUCACCGCUAUCUUUACCAAAUCGUGUUCACACACUUAGCUCACACAGAGUAGGACAUGUUCAUCACCAAUCCAAUUCAUUCCCGAUGAAUCAGAUCCGACUCAACUCUAAGCAGUAGCAGGCAUGACAAACAAGCAUGAAUGAGUAGGCACAUCAGGGCUCAAAGAAAUCCUACUCAUGCUAGUGGGUUUCAUCUAUUUACUAUGGCAAUGACAGGUCAUGCAGAGGAAAAGGGGUUCAGCUACCGCAGCAUGUAACAGUUGAAUCGAUGCUGUCCUAAUGUAGUAAAAGAGAGCAGGAGCGAGAGAGUGGGAUUGUAUCAGAAUGAACAAGGGGGUUUUGCUUGCCUAGCACUUCUAAAGAUAGUAAUAGCUCUUCAUCGGUGUCAUCGAACUCAUCGUUGGAACCACGUUUACUGAGAGGGGACAAUACCGGCAAACAAGGAAGAAACACAAUCAAUGCAAUGCAACAAUAUGAUGCAUGCUCAUGACAUGGCAAUAUGCUGUUGAUUGAACUAAUGCAACUAGCAACCAUAUUAAAUGAAGUUGGUUUGAACCCUAGGUUCAAAUUCAAACCAGUAUGUUAAUAUUCAAAUGCCAUUCACUUAUUUUGUCCUAAACAGUGAUGUUAACUUGCUGAAAUAUGCAUGGAUAUGACAUAAACAGAUUCUUCAUAUUUUUCUGAUCAUUUUUCAUAUAUAAAUUAUUUCAUUCUGAGCUACGAUUGAUUUUAUAUGAUUUUUAGAAGUUUUGGGUAUUUUCUGAAAAUAAUAAAUCAUUUCUUGUUUAUUUCAAAAUUCCAGAAAGUAAUUACUGCGUCAGUAUGAUGUCAGGGUGAUGUCAGCAAGUCAACAAGGGCGGGUCCAGGUCAAACCUGACCAGUGGGUCCCACUGGUCAGUGUCACGGUGCUAGUUAGGGUCACUGACAUGUGGACCCAGUCAAUGGCCACGUCAGCAUGGUCAAUGCUGACGCGUGGGGCCACUGUGAUUAGUUAAUACUAAGCAGAAACUAAUCUAAGUUUAAUUAGUCAGUGGGGCCCUGCUGUCAGUGUCACUAGGUGUUGACUAAGUGCGUCAUUAGCCCUAACUAAUCUGCCACGUCACCGUCACCGGAGUUACGCCGGCGGCGACCAAAACGCAGCGGAGGCGCACUAGAGUGGCUCGGGUUUCGCCUACAAGCCACCAUUUGACGCGUGGAAGGGUGCGUUUGAAAGAGGGAAGCAAGGCGCAUCUGUGGGUGGCCGUGGUUCGAGUGGGGGUGUAGGGAGUCAACGGCGGCAAGCUCUUUUGCGGCCGCCGGAGUUCGGGUGUGCACCGAAACGGGGCUACGGGGCACGACAUGAAGAUCUGGUGGGUGUGCUCGGCUCCUGGGAGUGCUCUGAGUGCAGCGGUGGGCUCGGACGCGUGCUUGCACGGCCGUAGUCGCGGUGGUGACAUGACUGGCGGCGAGGAGCUGUCGGCUCCGAUGGCCACGGUGGCUAGAAGGCGCGGACGAGCACGGGGAGAGUGGGGAAAGAGGCAGGGGCUCACGGUGAAUCCAGCAGAGGCAACGGCGAGGCCGCGGAGAGACUGGAGCUCGCGAAUCCCCGAAGAGUUCGCCGGCGGGACGACGUUGCAGGGCUUCCGGCGGGGCGCGGCUCGAUGGAGAGGAAGAGGGGGUCGAGGCAGAGCCUCUGAGCGCAACGACGAGGCGAGGCAGUGGAUGUGGCCACGGCGGUGCUCGUCGGUGGCGACGGCUGCGCUCGGCGCGGGUGAGAGAGAGGGGCAGAGGGGAGAGGGCCACGGGGAAGAGUGAGAGGGGUCGGGGGUGUGUGGCGUCUCCGUGGCGUCGUGUAAGCGCACCGGGGAGGAGCCAGGCAGGCAAGGAGGGAGGAGGUGGCUGGCGCGGGGCGGGCACGCUCCUCUGUCCUCUCUCUCUCUGCUUUCCCUAUUUUAGUUUCUGUUUUCUAUUAUUCUGUAGUCUUUAGGGCUUUACUAAAAAUACCUAAACAGAUCCAAAAAUCAUGAAACUGCUCAAUGCCACUGUUUGGAAUAUAACCAACAGCAAACAUUUUAGUUUAUGAUUAUUUGAGCAUUUAAAACAUUAUAUAGCAUUUAAAUGCCCAAAUGCAAAUAGAGUAUGAUUUAAUUCAGUGACCCAAUGUUGUCCUAGAAAAAUGUGAACCAUUUUUGACAGAGGUUCUAGACCAAGGCAAAGAUGAUGAAUAUUUUAGAAGGGCAUUUCAGGUUCAUUGAAAAAGUAUUUAGUAACCCUAGUUGGUUUAAGUGGUGCUGGGGGUUUCUGUCAUCCCCAUUUCAACUUUCUCAGAAAAUUUAACAUGAUGACAUGAUGAUCAUGCAAGGACAAGCAAAGGCUAAGCUAGGGCUGUGACAACUCACCCCCACUAAACAAGAAUCCCGUCCCGAGAUUCAAGAGGUGAGGUAAGAAGACAGAGGGGAUACAAGCUAACAUGAUCUUCAUGAUCCAUUGCUUCAGAUUGAUCUUGGCGUCCUUCCUUUCGAGAUCUUCAUCCAACACGAAGACAGAAGAGCGAGAUAACUCUACAGGGAUGGGUCAUCUUAAUGAUCACAAGAUCAACUCACGGAAUGAGACCUAGAAACAUCUCUGGAGCUGAGAGGCAAAACAUGCAUCAGAAGGAACAGAAGAAACAAUUUGACGAGGCUUUCAAAGUAGCGAGGAAACAAUUACCAUGAUCCCAUAACGGGGCACCUUGGGAGAGGUGACUCGUAAAAUUAUUCCCUUAAGUGGCAAAAAGAAUUACUUUUGAUACAGAGAUCAUUGGAACUCUCUAUACCAGCAUAAGGAAAUUCACAAACGAUCGUUUGAAGGAGUUCAAAAGAAUGACAUACUCGGACUAGAAUGGAUGAUGUGGACUACCUUGUUGAAGACAACGCAAUGGAUGAUUUUUGCUUAUCAUCGGAAAUGGAUGGGACCCAUGGUAGGACCACAUUUGGAGAUGAUCCUGAAUAGUAAUUACUGAGAAGGGCAGCCCAUGGGAGAUCGGCACAAUGGCUAUGCAAGCUGGGAACAAAAUGCAAAUACUGGGAAUGUUCCAACCAUCAUAUCUGCCUGAGAUUCAGAUCCGAUUGGUGAUAUGAUACUUCAGACUCAGCAUGUCUGAAAAGAAAGUUUGCAACACAAAUCGACGAGAUGACAUUGCGAGAUUCUCGGGAAAUGAACUACGAUAGCAAGCUCCAAAACAUGAGCUGGUUCUGCUACACACAUGUGAACACGCUGUGCCAGACGAGCAUGACCACGUAGAAGUCUUAUAAUAAAACACUAUCGAGUUCAGGUGGGGAACCAUCAACGAGGAUAUCGAAGUCCUUUUAUAAGCCUGGGUUAGCUCUUAAGAAGGAGCUUCUCCUCCUUGAACAAUUCAAUCAGUGGCUUGGUGUGCUAGGGAACCCAUAUGGAGUGGAGGUAAUUAGUCUACCAAACCAUAGAAUACAUUCGCACAUGCAUAACUGACUUGGGAUGGUACCAGAGGAAACAAAACCAAUCUUUCUCAAACUCACGGCGGCAACUUGCACCGAAUGCACAUGAAUUCGAGGAAGUCACUUCUUCCAUCCAAGCAUAAGCAUCAUGAACGGAACACAAAGGCAUUGCUUACAAAGUUUUCAGCACUAGGUUGAUGUUCAACAUGAAUUAUGGGGGAGACAAAAUGCUGCGGAUGGGUUCAACAGCAACUCAUCGGAAUUUCCAUAUCACUGGACUUCCACCAUCAUGUGAACACGGUGAUAGCAUUGGUCAGACCAAAAGAUGUAAUGGUGUAUGCUCGAGGGAUCAACCAUGAGUAAGACAACAUUACGAACAUCGUUGGUUCUGAUUUGACUUGACGAUAGCCCAUACUCAAGUCAAAGUUUUGACAAGGCAGUAGAUCCAACAACUUAUCACGAUGACCAGUCGAUGGAGAUAUCAUCUUUCUUCAACACACACACACACACACAAAAAGAUAUCCCUUAACAUGAACUAAGUCAGACAAGCUUUUAUCUUCCAACUAUCCAAGUUGUUGUUUGGCUUAACCAACUAGCUCAAGGGUAUCCCACACUGAUUCUUGGAGAAUGGGUGGUUUGGAGGAAAACCAACAUGAUCAUGAACUCAACAUAGUGGUCAGGUGACAACCUGGUAAUACUUCCGAGAAGAUAUUCGGAACAUCACGAACCACCGAUAUGUUACUAAGCUCGAGAACAAUCUUGCUUUUCAGAGCAAGACGAUAUGAUCAAAUAAGCAAGGGAUUGAAUAAUCCUAACUCAUUGAUCGAAGAGUGCACCAGAAAUAAGGACUAGGUAGCACGAUCAACCCUAGAAUAGUGAUUCGAUAACCAACACACUAAGAAUGAUAUUAAUGUCCAUUAACUACCAAGCAACACGGUUGCUAGGAGUAUUGAUUUCACACAUCAUGGUUCACUUGUCGGCAUUCCAGUUGUGACAACACGGAACCGAGGAGCGAAUGAUGAUGGCGAGAAGUAUCACUACAUCCAGAAUUCAUAAGAGUUGGUGCAAUUAUCAUGACAUUCCUGACAUCAAGAGGGCAAUACUUUAGGGUAGAACAGAAUCAAAAGCUGGGUUGCAUUUUGAUCUGCGGAAUACAACUGCUUUGACCCAAUCCUGGAUAUGGAUGAGGUACUAGAGUUUGUUUCUCCUAGUCAUUCUGAAAUAGAACGGCUCGACGGACCACAAAGAUAAUAGACACUGCCGAACACGAAGGCACAACUAUUCCUGACUAUCACUUGAUAGACAGACGUCAGGAUACAACUAAAGAGGGACAACUCAAAGGAACAUAUGUUUUUCUGAGUUGUGGAUGCAUAGAUUACUAUGUCGAGCGAAGCUCAACAUAUCUUCCGGAUAACCCAUGCGGAAAGGGCAGAACUAGAAGAUUCACAAUAUAGAAUGGAGAACACCUUUUGGUUCAAAAGAACUCCUGCCAAGAAUGGUUCAUGGUAAUUGGAAGAAGGAUGUACCACAAACCUCGAGGACUAUCGCAAAGGUUACUAAUAUCCUAAAGGAACUUGCAACACUAUCAACAUGAGGUAAGUAGGGUGAAUCUCGGGUUCAAGAACCCAGGAAUAGAAUACCUACUACUAAAUGGCAUCACGGGAUGCUUUCGAGAAUGGUGGCCAGAAUCAUCACACCGGGAACACAAAACAUGGCUAGAUUACUAGGUGACUCCCUAAAAUACCUAGGGUCAUAAUAAUAGAUCCAACAUAUAUGUCGAGGUAAUAGAGUACCUCAACUCACUGAUUAGUGUGGUUGAACUGGCCCAAAGGGACGUCAAGAACGGAAAGAAGGGACUUGCAAAUGCAUCAGACAAUUUAGAAACCUGGGAUGACUCGGACAACAUAACGGCUGUAAAUGCUCAAAAUGAGUUGAGACAUCCUGCAAAAUGGUGGCAUAACCACUUAACAUCAUAAUAUCAAAGUUCUGAGAUCAACUGUUAACACACAGAAGUAGUAGGAACUGAACUCGGGCUUGAAACCAACAAUCAUAUAAGUCUAUAGAUUAGUAACACGUGAUCCUGAUAGAAGAUGAGAAAGCCUAGUUCUUAAUCCCCGCAGAAAAGAAGAGGGUAACUCAGAUCAGAAGGGCAUAGGGUAUAAGAAGUAAAAAGAGCCAUACAUUCCCUUCCACAAUCAAUUCCCCUAUAUAACUAAAGCAUCUCUAGACUCAAUUUCGACCGGUUUGGCUUGGUAAUCCUACAGGCAGUCAGGCUCUGAUACCAAAGCUGUCAGGACCCUGAUUCCAAGUCACAUCGAUCUAGCCGGUAACACCUCAUAUCACUUUGCGGCCUCACGCACGGUAUUCCCACGGGUGUCGCCUUACCAUGGCCCGGGACCGUUUGCGCCUUUUGGCUCACGUACAUGAUAGUGUCGCUAGCAUCCAUAUGACAGAGAACCCGGGCCGACAUGACUAGUCGUGAACCCAAAGUGGCACUAACUUACGGGGACAUGCAUACAUGAAUCAACAUCGAGCAUGUCGGUCAGCAGCGUGCGAAUCCGGGUUGUAGCACUGGGCUAACAGGACUCCGAUGAACCGGGCUGUAGCAGGCUAGGCAGGACUCCGGAUGUCACCGCGUGACAUUUCCCCGAAGGGACAGACACAGGAACGAAGUGAAUCACAUGUCGGCCAGUCAAGUGUUCCGGUGCAGUAGUGCUGGGCUAGCAGGACUCCGGUGAACCGGGCUGUAGCGGACUACUAUGGCUCAUGGAAGCACAAGACUACAUUUCCCCAUAAGAGAGGCUACCAAGGAUAAACAACUAGGUUGUCGGAUCCCACACAUACCAAGCAUUUCAAUCAUACACACAAUAUGCUCGAUAUGUUUAAAUACAAUAUGGCAUCACAACAAAACUCUAUGACUCAAAGUAUUUAUUCAUUAGGCUCCGAAGAGCGAGAUAUUACAAACAUGGGUCUCAUGACCCAACAUUCAGAGCAUACAAGUCAAAGCACAUGCGGAAUCUUAACAUGUCUGAGUACAGACAUCUACAAAUGAAAAAGGCUGAGAAGCCUGACUAUCUACCAGAUCCUGCCGAGGGCACAAGAUCGUAGCUGAGGUAACAAGCUAAACGUCGAAGUCCAUGCGGUAUUACUAGCGAGACUGAAGUCUCUCUGCAAAAACAUAAAAUAGGCAAACAUGAGUACAAAUGUACCCAGCAAGACUUACAUCAGAACUAACUACAUAUGCAUCAGUAUCAACAUGGGGGUGGUGGAGUUUAACUACAGCAAGCCAGCUUUGACUCGGUGGCUAUCCUAAACUACGUCUGCAAGUAACUCUUUUGAGGUGGCGCACACGAGUCCACAUAUUCACCAUAUCAAUACACCACUAUGGAUCAGCUCCCGUCUCCCUACGAGAACGCCAUCCAUAGCACUCACGCUUAUCUUGCGCAUUUUCGAGUAUCCACUUUCACUUGUCUAUGAACUAUUAUAGGCAACCCAGAAGUCCUUUACCGUGGACGCGGCUAUUCGAAUAGAUCAUUUAUAACCCUGCAGGGGUGUACUUCUUCACACAUGUUUCCACCACUUAGCGUCUGCACACGACAUGUGCUCGGCAAACUUCAAGCGAAAGCCGACGUGGGUGUAGACCACGACCUAACUAACCACACAAGUCUCUAGUCCAGAUUUAUCGCCUAUUCGGGUUCCAUCCGCGAGGAGAUCCGGCCGGGGUUUCGCUCACAGCCCCAAACGAUGUGUGCAGGGUUCCCGAGACACCAAACGGGCGCCCGGUACACCGGGCCAUGUUGUAUCUACCGCAUCAUAGCCCACCCCUAGGGUCAGCGCUACGCACGACCUCCAACACAUAUCCUACAAACACCAGAAACUAGUUGCAACUCCUGGACAGAGGACAAGGGCGAUUAAUAAGUCAAGCGGGGUCAUAUUUCAGGGCCCAACGUGUGGUAGUAGCUGUUCAUGGAUCACAAACACAUAACUCAGUUCCUGAGGACGGUUUCAGUGAGACAACCCACCAUGUACUCCUACAUGGCCUCUCACCGCUACCUUUACCAAAUCGUGUUCACACACUUAUCUCACACACAGUAGGACAUGUUCAUCACCAUUCCAAUUCAUCCCCGAUGAAUCAGACCCGACUCAACUCUAAGCAGUAGCAGGCAUGACAAACAAGCAUGAAUGAGUAGGCACAUCAGGGCUCAAACAACUCCUACUCAUGCUAGUGGGUUUCAUCUAUUUACUGUAGCAAUGACAGGUCAUGCAGAGGAAAAGGGGUUCAGCUACCGCAACAUGUAACAGUUGAAUCGAUGCUGUCCUAAUGCAGUAAAAGAGAGCAGGAGCGAGAGAGUGGGAUAGUAUCGGAAUAAACAAGGGGUUUUGCUUGCCUGGCACUUCUGAAGAUAGUAAUAGCUCUUCAUCGAUGUCAUCGAACUCAUCGUCGAAACCACGUUUACUAAGAGGGGACAAUACCGGCAAACAAGGAAGAAACACAAUCAAUGCAAUGCAACAAUAUGAUGCAUGCUCAUGACAUGGCAAUAUGCUGUUGAUUGAACUAAUGCAACUAGCAACCAUAUUAAAUGAAGUUGGUUUGAACCCUAGGUUCAAAUUCAAACCCCAUAUGUUAAUAUUCAAAUGCCAUUCACUUGUUCGUCCUAAACAAUGAUGCUAACUUGCUCAAAUAUGCAUGGAUAUGACAUAAACAGAUUCUUCAUAUUUUUCUGAUCAUUUUUCAUAUAUAAAUUAUUUCAUUCUGAGCUACGGUUGAUUUUAUAUGAUUUUUAGAAGUUUUGGGUAUUUUCUGAAAAUAAUAAAUCAUUUCUGAUUUAUUUUAAAAUUCCAGAAAGUAAUUACUGCGACAGCCUGACGUCAGGGUGAUGUCUGCAAGUGAACAGGGGCGGGUCCAGGCCAAACCUGACCAGUGGGUCCCACUGGUCAGUGUCACGGUGCUAGUUAGGGUCACUGACAUGUGGACCCAGUCAAUGGCCACGUCAGCAUGGUCAAUGCUGACGCGUGGGGCCACUUUGGUUAGUUAAUACUAAGCAGAAACUAAUCUAAGUUUAAUUAGUCAGUGGGGCCCUGCUGUCAGUGUCACUAGGUGUUGACUAAGUGCGUCAUUAGCCCUAACUAAUCUGCCACGCCACCCUCGCCGGAGUUACGUCGGCGGCGACCAAAACGCGGCGGAGGCGCACUGGAGUGGCUCGGGUUUCGCCUACAGGCCACCGUUUAACCCGCGGAAGGGCGCGUUUGAAAGAGGGAAGCGAGGCGCAUAUGUGGGUGGCCGUGGUUCGAGUGGGGGUGGACGGAGUUAAUGGCGGCGAGCUCUUUUGCGGCCGCAGGAGUUCGGGCGUGCACCGAAACAGGGCUACGGAGCACGGCGUGAAGAUCUGGUGGGUGUGCUCGGCUCCUGGGAGUGCUCUGAGUGCAGCGGUGGGCUCGGACGCGUGCUUGCAUGGCCGUAGUCGCGGUGGUGACAUGACCGGCGGCGAGGAGUUGUCGGCUCCGAUGGCCACGGUGGCUAGAAGGCGCGGACGAGCAUAGGGAGAGAGGGGAAACAGGUAGGGGCUCACGGCGAAUCCAGCAGAGGCAAUGGCGAGGCCGGGGAGAGACUGGAGCUCGCGAAUCCCCGAAGAGUUCGCUGGCAGCCAGAGGUUGAAGACGAUGUCGGGGACGACGCUGCGGGGCUUCCGGCGGGGCGCGGCUUGGUGGAGAGGAAGAGGGGGUCGAGGCGGAGCCUCUCAGCGCAACGACGAGGCGAGGCAGUGGCUAUGGCCACGGCGGUGCUCGGCACGGGUGAGAGAGAGGGGCAGAGGGGAGAGGGCCACGGGGAAGAGUGAGAGGGGUCAGGGGGGUGCGUGGCGUCUCCGUGGCGUCGUCUAAGCGCACCGGGGAGGAGCCAGGCAGGCAGGGAGGGAGGAGGUGGCCGGCGCGGGGCGGGCAUGCGCCUCCAUCUUCCUGGCAGGAGGAAGAUGACAGGGGAGUGGCCAGGUGGCUGGGCUGGCCAGCUGGGCCUACCAAGUGGGCUUUGGUGGGUGCGAGGUAGGUAUCUUCUCUCUCUCUGCUUUUCCUAUUUUAGUUUCUGUUUUCAAUUAUUCUGUAGUCUUUAGGGCUUUACUAAAAAUACUUAAACAUAUCCAAAAAUCAUGAAACUGCUCAAUACCACUGUUUGGAAUAUAACCAAUAGCAAACAUUUUAGUUUAUGAUUAUUUGAGCAUUUAAAAUAUUAUAUAGCAUUUAAAUGCCCAAAUGCAAAUAGACUAUGAUUUAAUUCAGUGACCCAAUGUUGUCCUAGAAAAAUGUGAACCAUUUUUGAUAGAGGUUCUAGACCAAGGCAAAGAUGAUGAACAUUUUAGAAGGGCAUUUCAGGUUCAUUGAAAAAGUAUUUAGUAACCCUAGUUGGUUUAAGUGGUGCUGGGGGUUUCUGUCAUCCCCAUUUCAACUUUCUGAGAAAAUUUAACAUGAUGACAUGAUGAUCAUGCAAGGACAAGCAAAGGCUAAGAUAGGGCUAUGACAAUCUCCAUCCAAUGCACCUACCUCUCCAUCCACUCAACGGAAUUGAGCAAGUAAUAUACCGAUGAAAACCUGCUGCAAACACGCAACUUUCCCGUGUUGAUCAUUUUUUCAUACUCGCGACGAUUUUAAAAGUUUUUCAUCUAAAAUUCAUUCACUAUAGUAGUUGAACUUCAUGUUGUUUUCACGUUGAACUUCUGUGACGUAUAUUCGUUUGUAAUUUUCUCAUCCAUUCGUUAGUGUUACACAAAUGAUAUUUCUUUUGUACAAACCACUCUCACAAUAAUUUUUUAACUUUCUCCGACGGAGGACUUGAACUUAUAAAAACAACAAAAUUAGGCCUUUGCUUUUUUAUUCCUUUUUAAUACAAAUGUACACCGUGUAGUACGUGAACUUCUGACAGUUAUCAAUCUGAACUUCUCUUGGUUACGUGCAAAUAUCUGAGUUUUUCUAUGAAUUGUUAAUCUGAUUUUCUUAAUCUUUUUUUAUGAAUUUUGAAGCGCUCUAUUUUUUAAAGUUGAACUUCUUGUUUUUUUUGAACUUUUUGUUUCCAUUCUUUAAUAACGAGGAAAAUCUGAGUUGUCUAUAAUCAUCGAACUUCUCCAUCUUUUUAAUAUGGACUUACUGUUUUAUUCCUUAAUCUUUUUAUGAAAUUUUGAAGCGCUCUUAUUUUUAAAAGUUGAACUUCUUGUUUUUUAUUUUUUGAACUUCUUGUUUCCAUUCCUUAAUAACGAGGAAAAUCUGAGUUUUCAAUAAUCAUCGAACUUCUCCAUCUUUUUAAUGUGGACUUCCUGGUUUUUUUUCUUAAUCUUUUUUAUGAAAUUUUGAAGCGCUCUAUUUUUUGAACUUCUUGUUUUCCAUUCUUUAAUAACGAGGGAAAUCUGAGUUUUCUAUAAUCAUCGAACUUCUCCAUCUUUCUCAUUUGGACUUCCUGGUUUUAUUUCUUUUAGUAACGGAAAAAUCCUACUUUUUGAUAGACAUCGAGCCCCUUCGAUAAAUUUGAACUUCUAGGUUUAUUUUAAUAGAACUUCUUCAUUAUUUCAAAUAGAACUUAUUUGUCUUAUUCUUUAGUAACCGAAAAAAUUGAGUUUUCAAAUAAAUAUCAAACUACUCUGCUUUUAAAAAUUGAAAUUCUUGGUAUUAUUAUUUAGUAACAAGAAAAAACUGAGUUUUUAAUAUGCAUUGAACUACUUCAUUUUUUAAAAUUGAACUUCUUGGUUUUUAUCUUUAGUUGUGGGGAAAAUGCCCAAAAUGACAUUGUUUUUUGUUUUUGUUUUUUAUCUUCUAAAUCCUAGGUUUUAAUAUAAUUUGAACUUCUGUGUUCUUUUAAUCUGAACUUCAUAUUUUUUAUUUUUUGAGUAAAGUUUCUGUUUUUGAUUUUUAAAUAAACAUGAUUUUGACUUUUUUAUUUUUGAUCUUCAUGGUCAAUUCUUUAAUUCCUUUUUUUAAUUUCAACUUCUUCAUUUUAUUAUUUAGUAACGAGAAAACAUCUAAGUUUUUUUAACCUUCAAACUUCUCUCUUAUUUUACUUUGAACUUCUUAGAGAAAAAUAUGGUUUUAAAUAAGCAAACAGUUUUCUAGGUUUUUACCUUUGAACUUCUAGGUUUUUUGACCUUCUCGGUUAUUUCAAAUUGAACUUCUAGGGUUUUCAAAUUUGAACUUCUAUGCUUUUUGACCUUCUCGGUUCUUUCAAUUUUUCUAGUUUUCUUUAAAUCCAUUUUUAUAAACUUUUUUUGAGUUGGUCUGUUAUUUUGAGUUGGCCUUCUCUCUUAUUUUUUUAGAAACAUGGAAAAUAUAACUUUUAAAAACUUUGGUUAUUUUCUAGAAACAAGAAAAUUUCAAAAUUUUAAUGUGCAUGCUCUGUUAUUUUAUUUUCUUGAAAUAGGGAAAAUCUAUUUCUUUAUAUGUGUUGUCCCUUUUCAUUUGAUGAAUUUCUUCUGUAUUUGGCACAUGUGAACUUCGAAACUUCUGAAACAUGAACAUGUGGAGAAAAAGUUCAUUUCUGUCCCUGCAUGAUUUAUGUUUCAAGUUGACAUCUGAAAAAUCCCUCAGGCAGUACGAUAGUUGUACUUGUACCGAUUUUGGCGACACCAGGCUUAAUUUUUACUUAAAUUUUGCGCUGCUUUGUUAUUUUAGUUUGAAGUUCUGCGUUUUAACAACAACAGAGUGCUUAUACGUUUAUAAAAGAAAGGAUUUUUCUAUUUUCUAAAAAGAAUGAAAACUAAGCACACGCUCACCUCCAUGCACAUGGCCAAUUAAUUUUAUUCUCUAGACACAAGUAAUUUUUUCUUUGACCAGCCUCAAGCAUUUUGUUUGCCCUACCAGAAGUAACUUGCUCGGCCUGACAUUGGUUGCCUACAACCACGAGUUAUUUUCGUCAUAUCUGAACUUCGAAAAAUGAAAAAACAGAUGACUGUAUCUCACAUACUGUCAAAACAAAACAAAAAAGAUGAAUGUGUCUCACGGAGAGCACAACUGAGCAUUGCGGCCAGUGCAUAACACACAUCGCACGCGCACUAAGAGGAGGGCCGCCGGCUUGAGCGUGAGAUGCAUCAGAACAUGGAUUGCCGGAGUUCUCGCCGUAGGUCUCCAAGCACGCAUCCGUCUCAUCACCCUUUUUUCUUCUUCCCCUCAGAAUCCCCUCAGAGAGGAUGCAGUUGCACGAACAGAAUGUAUGAACUUCCAUGGACCACACCCUAUGAACAUGUUGAGCAAUUUAUUUUUCAAACACAACACGAUUAUUCUUGAUCAGUAUGUAUGAACUUCUAGGAACCUCAUUUUGAAGCGCUACACAAUUUUUUCCACGAACAUAAUGUAUGAACUUCCAGGAACCAGAAAGACUUUUCUGAACUUUUCUAAGUUACAAUAUUUUGAAUUUCACAAUCUUGAGAACAUGAACUUCAGAACGCACGCUAUAACUGAAAUCAAUCAAAAUACAGUGAUUUUCAUCAAAACAUAGAAUAGUACCAGCACUCUACACACAAUGAAGAAAGGAAGAGGAGAAUUUUUAUUCACGAUUGUGCUCGGCACUGCACGGGAGGAGGAGUCACGACACAACAUGAGAGGUAGGUCGCCGGCUGCUGUGAAGCAAAAGGGGGAGGAGGAGGAGGCACCUUCGAGAUCCAACGAUGGCGGUGGAUGGUACUUGGAGCCCAGGACCGCGUAGAGCUCGGGACGGGGAGCCUCCGCAUGGCGCUGGAUGAGCGGCGGCGGAUGAGAUCCAGGGACAGGCGACGGCGCUUGGGAUCCAGGACCCUACGGCGGCGCCAGGGAUCCAUGGCCCGGCGACAGCACACGGGGAUCCCGGGGCCCUGCGGCAGCUGGAUCAGAGGGUGGUGCCUGGAGGAGGCUCGUCGGCCAUGGUGGAGGAGGGUCCGCGCCGGCCGUUGGGAAGGAGGGAGGUGGCCGUGAGGGAGGUGACCGGCGGCGCGCAGGGUUGCUAGGUCGUGGCGGCCCCGGUUGGGGCAGCGCGGGUGUGGUGGGG